CUAAGACCACAGUUGAUCGCCAGGCCGCUUGUAAGUGCUUGAAAACCUUUUCUGGUUCCAUCCCUGGCAUCAAUUUCGGUCUUGCAAGUGGGCUUCCGGGCAAGUGUGGUGUCAGCGUUCCUUACAAGAUCAGCCCCUCCACUGACUGCUCCAAGUAUGCUCUAUUAAUCUCUCACUACUCAUGAUAUAUUUAUAUAGAAUUCAGCUUGAUUAACCAAUAAGAUUUCUGCGACUGAAUUUUUUUUUUUUGUGAAUGUGUUCAGGGUGACUUGAAGCAAAAGGUGGAGUAGGAUGAGCUAUGGUAGCAACUAGCAUAAGAAUAAAGAAGUGGAGGGUAGAGGCUCCACUUGGACCACUCAGCCUUUAGUAUUAGUAGUACUAGUACUGGCGUCAUAUUCCUCUCUGUGGUUGUAUGACAUCUACUGGAGCGGUUGCAUACUUGCAUGUAAUAAAUAUCCCUGCUGGUUGCUGGACCCUAUCAUAUUAUAUAACUUUUACCCUCUCUCUCUCUCUCUCUCUCUCUCUCUCUAGUGUCCAGGAAAGAGAAAAACACAGAAAAAAGAAAAGGAAACAAACAGGUCUCUGGAAUCAAAUUUAAGAUAACUAGAAAAAUAUGACCAUGAAACAAUAGGAAAGAAGGAUAAGAAAAAAAUAUUUUUCACAAAGUGGAUGUAUAGGCUUCUUUUAAUUAUAUAAAUACCUUUUAAAUCAUAAAAAUUCAUUAGACUCACCAUGGACAGUAUGCAUUAUGUGCAUGCUAUCAAAUAAUAUUGAAAAUGACUGAUGUCCAUGUGAGCUGACUAGCUUUAAUUAGUCAUAAUUAUAAUCUCAAAUCAAAGUAAAAAAAAAUUUAAUAUUUUAGAAGGGGCAUUGCACAAAUUAUGUUAAAUAUAAAAUGAUUUUCUAAACAAGCUUGAUUCUAGCCUUUAGAAGGUAACUCCCUCAUAAUUCAGCUUGGUGUGGUAAUUCCAAAGGGGGCUUUUACCAUGAGCCCAAUGUCGUGGCGAAGGUUAUACCUUAGAAAGUCAGUGAAGCUAAGGUUUCGUAUGUGUUAUAUCCUUUCGAUCGAGCGACAACUUCUAAGGAUCAUUCCCCUCCCCGGUGCUAGAAGGUCGGAAGGAGAAGUGUUAUAAGCUUUGAAUGGAAGCCCCGGUAAACGGCGGCAGUAACUCUACCUGUCCUAAGGUAGCGAAAUUCCUAGUAACUAGUUGUUUAUAUCGAACUCGAAAAUAUAACUUGACUAUUCGGGACAACUAGAGGAACAUUAUUGCCGGCACUAUCAAAGGCCGCUAUUCCAGACCAAAAGUAUGGAAUAGAGUAAGGCCUUUAUUAGAAAAGAUGCAUAAAAACAACUUAAAAAUACUUUUAAUUUAAGAUGGGGUUUAUUUUUUAAUUGAAUAGAAAAAAUCAAAAUAUUUAAUUUUUUCUAUUCAGUUAAAAAUAACAUAUUGAUAUCAAUCAAUAUAAAAAUAAAUUCAAUUUAGUUAUUGUUAAUAUCAACAUAUUACUUUUAACUUAAUAAAAAUAAUCAAAUAUUUCGAUUUUUUAUAUUCAACUAAAAAACAAACAUUACCUAAUACAAAUAUUGAAAUUAUGUAAUUAGAGACUAAGGAGACGAAAUUAAAAAGUGGCAAUACUUUUGUUAAUAAGUUUAUUUUAGUUAUAUUGAUUUAUAUUAUUACUUUUUUAAUAUAAAAAAAUCAAAUAUUUAAUAUAAAAAAAUCAAAUAUUUUAGUUUUUUUUUUAUUCAACCAAAAAACAAACACCUCAAAAUUGAAAUCAUAUAGUUAGAAACUAAAGACAUGAAGUUAGAAAGUGAUAAUUCUCUUAUCAACAAAUUACUUUAGUUAUAUUGAUAGAUAUUAGUAUAUUACUUUUAACUUAUCGGAAGAAAUAAAAUAUUUUAGUUUUUUCCAUCAUUUCAAAAAACAAACCCCAUGUAAGACAAGUAUCAAAAUCAUGUAGUUAGAGACUUGGGACGUGGGGUUAGAAAGUGACCAUACUCCUCUGUUAAGUUUGAAAAUAUGCAUUUGAAAAGAAUUUUGAAAAGAAAAAAAAAAAAAGUUAUGAAAGCAAGGUUAUCAGAAGGAUGCCUUGUUAAUUUUACUGUAAAUUCAGUCCUCGUAUUCAUCGGAGAUAAAAGCCUUUUUAGGUUAUAAUUUUACCUCCAAAUACAUUAAUAUUUGCUACCUCGUAGUGUGAUUGGGGGUCAACCAAAGAAUAGGAAUCAUGGGGAAUUUUGUGCCACACAUUUAUGUACGAAACUAAUAAAUGUAGCUCCCAAUUCGGGUGUAUACAUUUAUCAUUUCCAAGGUCUAGAUUAGCAUGCCUACCAAACAGUCUUUUCUUCAUUUUUGUGCAUUUUUCAAGGAAAUUGAUUUUUAUAUAAAAAUAAACAAGGUUGUGAAAUGAAAGUUCUUUUUGUAUAGCUUCUUGUGUUUAAUUUUAAGGGGAAGUUACACCUAAAACUAAUAUCAUAAUUUUUAAAGAAUAAUAUUGAUAUUAUAUAGUUUUAUUAAAUGUAAACCUUUUAACAUAAAUUAAAAUAAAGGUAAUGUGAAAAGUAAUAUUUUCUUAAUUUUCAUAUUUAAUUUUUUAAAAAUUAUAAAUUCCUUUAACAAAAUAAACCCAAUAAGUAUAAAAGUUCUUAUUGAGUUUAAAAAAAUAACUUAAAAAAGAUCAUCAAUUAAAAUUUCAUGUUUUGAUUCUUUUCAAUAGACAAGUUGAGACAUGUAAAAUUGAAUGCAUUAGCACGCUCUCAGCAAGUAAAGUAACAGAAUUUUCAUUAACUUCCUACUAUUUUUGAAACAAAUCUAAAUACCAUUUACUUCAAACAAAAACCAAGUUAAAAAUUAUCUAACAAUUUCAAAGAUUACACAAACAAAUUUUAGCUCAAAUUAUCUACUAAUCCACUUAUCAAAACAAAGUUAUUUUCUUAGUCAAGAUAAAUAUGGAAAAAUUAACUAAUAAAGAAAUAGAAAGAAUAAAGCAAUGACACCAAGAUUUAACAUAGAAGAUCUUUAAAGAAAUUAAAAACCAUGGAUCUAUAAAUGAUAAAAAAAACAUCCACUAUAAAUAGUAACAACUGUUAUAAGAUUUUACCUAACUCAAGUCCGUCAAUCCUUCUUGAAUCACUUGACUGAUACUUUUCCACUUCAUUUAUCUGUUUUUUUUUCCUUUCAAAACAUACUUAAAGUCCACAUUAAAUUUAAUCUUGACCUCUUCUUAAGUUCACACAAGACGAAAAUAGGAUUUACUUCAACCCAAUAACCCUAAAGAGAGAAUGGAUGAAAGAACCAAAAGAAUUAGUCCAUACUUUAAAAAAACCUCAAUCAAAAAUUGUUGUAAACUUCAAAAUGGAUAGGAGUUUCUUGGGAAACAAACACACUCAUACUCAGAAUGGGAGAGGAGUACAAUGGUUGUGUGUGACAACUAUUGGAGCCUCAACCCUAAAAUGAAGGUUUUGGAUUUAAAUAGGAAGGAAAACCUUAAUCUAAUGACUAAAAAAUAAUACAACAGUAGAUAGAUUGAUCCUGGAUCAAUCUUGGAACAAAGCACAAAAAUACGUAGUUAAAAAAAAACACAAAAGCUACCCAAGUCUCCUAAAACUUCUUUAAAGGAUUUUCACUAUUUUGAAAAUCCCGAUUGAUUUAAUUUUGCCCCUCCACUACCUUAACUACAUACCUUAGUCUCUAAAUACCUUCAACGCCUCAAAGUUCUUUAUUAGACAAAUAAUCGGAGGAAGGAUUUGAUAGACCCAAAUUAAGAGACCGCUCGUGAGCUCUUAGUUGCCCGAAAUUGCCAACUACGACACUCACAAUGGGGCACAACCACUUAGACUCACAACCCCACCUCAUUCCCAUGGCUGGCAGCAUAAUGCACUUAGAUUGCGCGCUCUCUACCACCAAAGCUUGUAGCAUUUUGUUACAUAAAUAUACUGAGCAACAGAGAAGGUAAUUGUUUUGAACUGCUUGGCAAAUUUGUUCUUUGAUAUUGGGUACAAAUGUCUCUUGUUUUUUAAAAAUUUAUAAAAAUAAUGCUAUUAAAUCUGUCAAUAAAAAAACAUUUGAUGGGUUGCUUCUAAAUAAAUGCGGAGCAACGUAAUACUUUUAGUUUUAUGACGUGAAGGCAUAUUAUCUGUCAAGGAAAUCCUACAAUACUCUGAUCAAUUUCGAAAGCAGGACUUCCACAAAGAGCUAACCGAUUUAUUUGCCUUUCUUUUCUCUCACUGCCACAUUGCUGAAUAAAUUAAAGCUUUGGAAAUGAAUAUUCAAUCAUAUAAGGCCUAUCAGGUUAGAUUGGACUUAGAACCAAUACAGCGCAAUGGGGUCUAAACCCAAUCUAAAACACUCAGAGAUCUGGAGUUUAUGGUUGAGUAAGCCCUGUUAUCAUUGGAAUUAACACACGUGAUUCAUUUUCUUCAAGCAGGAUCAACUGUUUGGCUCCUUUCCCAUUCAUCUCAGUUUCAGAUCAUAAUCAUUCCUCAUCUUAAAGAACUGCUUCUCUAUCCUAACCAUACGAGGUGUUUAUUUUGGGUUACUUGUCUGAUAUUUUUUAACUUAGAACAAUUCCUUAGUUUUGAUCAAGGAGUUGGACGUCAAUUUUUCUCACAAACGAAAACCAGCCAGAGAAAGAAAAACACAGAUCCGGGCACGGUAAAGAAGUAUCAGAGCAUUAAGCUAAGCAAUUGCAUACCCUCACACUUGCUCCUAUAGAAACAACCAAAGCUCACAGCAUUUUCAUCAGCAUCCAAACGUCUAAGCCUGCAUUUCUCUUUCGGUGCUAAAAGUUUUUGGGCAGAACAGCCAGUCACUCAUGAUGGCCAGUUCUAGAGCGCUUGAGUUGGCAGGGGCAAUGAUGUUUAUCUGCAUGGCGGUGGUUGCAGCACUGGCAGCUGAAUAAGCCCUAAUAUGUUAUCAGAUGAACAACACCUUCACCAAUGCAGUUCUUUCCUGAGGAACGGUGGUUCAGUCACAGCAGAAUGCUGCCAAGAAGUUAGGACCCUCAACAAUGGAGUUAAGAACACCAAAGACCGCCAGACCACCUGUGUGCUUGAAGAAGGGCGAUAUCCUCCAUUUAUGGAAUCAAAUUGAACUACCUCUCUGAGCUUCCAGGCAAAUGUGAAGUCAGCGUUCCAUACAAGAUUGACCCCUCCAUUGAAUGCCUGCAGGUAUUCAGGGCUCAUGGCUCUGUCUUCUGAGCAGUUGAGCAUUACUUUAAAAUUGAUGAUUUUUACUAUUGUUUUGUCAUUGUGUUGCAGGGUGAAGUAAGGUUGACAAGUUAACAUAUAUGGCACUCAGGAUAUAGUAGAUUGAGACAAAGAUGGACGGAGAGAGACCUAACGGGGACUCCUCUUCAUCCCAGAAAAAAAAAAAGAAAAAAGAAAAAAAGAGAAUGCCCAAAUAUUGCAUCUUUUGCACUACAAAUGUACUGGAUUUGCAUUCUAAUAAAAUAUAUCGUGCCUCAAGCACUUUUAAGUGUACUGGAUCUGGAUUGAAUGUGGUAAACUGUUCCAAUUGUAAUAUUAUCUGGAAUAUACUCAAAGACCACCAACAAAUCACAUCCAAAAAGAUGCAGACAGGUGAAAAUGAGUCAAGGGAUUUUUUUUCCUGUUCUUUUUGCCCCUCUUUUUCAUGACUACAGGCUUCUGAACCCUAGUCCUUGAGACACAGGACUAAUCUCAAUCAGGUAAUCACCCACAAACCCAAGAGAAGAAUUUCUCAUUUGCAUGGCAGGGCCAUGGUUUUUGGUUUAGAAGAUCAACUUAGCCAUCUAAAAGGAAGUAUAGAUUAGCUCAGGUAAUGUGUGGUAAAUAGCAGUUGACAAAUAGACAAACAAAAUCUAGAGAAGAUAAGGGAUUCUAGUUUCAGAGCUGAUUUUGCAAGUUUGCUAAUAGUGCUUAUAAGCUCAAGAAAUAUAAUAAUAUUAAUAUUUGAUCAUCCAAAAAGAACCUAGUGAAUUAUAAGAUGAUAAGAAGUUCAUGGGCAUCUAGCACAAAGAAAAAAAGAAGAAAUAAUAAUGGAGCACCAGUGCAGCACCAUACCUCUUCUUUAAAUUAAGCAUUGAAAUGGGAACCCUGCAAGAAAAGAACUUGCGACUCAUCAUACAACUAAAAAUAAGAAAUGGGAUUGGAGCUUCUCUUUUUGGAUUCAUACCUGCCAGAAAUUUAUUGACUAGAAUUUGUCCUUACAGGAUGUUUUACUCUUUCUAAAUCAGUCACUGUGCUCAAUUGUAAACAAAGUGCUCCACAGCAGGUUGUGGCUCUCGCAAGCAUGAAGCGAAUGCAGAGCUGAGAUAUUGUUGAUUAUCAUUCAACACAAAAGCUCAUGGCUUAAAUAAAACAUCUUUCAGGAAACUGUGUAUGUGUAUAUGAUUAUAUACAAAGGCAUUACUAAUUGUCAGCAAUUGGAAAUAUGGGAAGAAAUAGUUCUAAUGCUAAAAGAAAAGGAUAAGGUGCAUUUAAUUGGAUAUCAAUACAUUAUUUUACCUUUUGAUGGUAGUCUACAUUUCUCCUGUGGCAUUUACAUCUUCAUCAAGUAGAAGUCUCUCUAGCCGAGACACAAGGUUAUUUGAGGAGAAGCUUAAAAGUUCAUUAUCUCUUCUCAGGUCAUUCACUUCCUUAUUUAAAUCUACAAUCUGCCCUUCAAGCUGCUGGCUUGAUAAAAGCUGGUCUCCUAAUAUAUUAUUUUCUCUUCUCAGUUUGUCUAUCUCUUCCAUUAACUUCAUAUUUUGCUCUUCUAAUAACUGAUAUCUUGUUCUCAAGUCAUCCUCCUGAAACACGUAUUUCAAAUAAAUAACUGAUGGGAUGAAAAACAAAUAAAAAAAAGGCAAGAAAUAAAGAUAUACAUACAACACUAAUGGUAAAAUUCAUGGAAGAAUUCUUUGAGGUUGAUGGAUGCUGCAUUUGCUCUUUUGGUUCCUCUGAAACACAACAAGAUGCAGAUGGGCAUCCUGUUGCAUCUGUUAACACUUCUACUACAUUUUCUGGUGCCCUCAAAUGCUCCAGAUUGUUUUCUUGUAUCCUGUGCCCUUCUCUGACUAUUUCCCUUUCUGACCCAUUUUCAACUGCUUGUUUAUCCAUCAAGUGAGAUCUGAUUCUCAAGUUAUCAUCCUGUUAAAUGAAAGAAGUUCUGUCACAAAAACUCAAUAAAAUACUUCAAACAAGCAAGAAGAAUGUUUACAUUGGCAAGAGAAGCCCCCUCCUUUCUUACAUUUUCUUUUAAAAGAAAUAAAACUAAGGAAAAGAACUCACAUCAACAGUCAACAUAAUAGAUGAAGGAUAUUCAGGUUUAGAAACAUCCGUCCUGUCAUUUUGUGCAGCUAUUAACUCUUUGAUUAUAUCAAUUUCUAACUCCUCAGAAGUCAGUUGAAGUUCCCAAGUUAUCUGAUAACAAACAGAAGUUGUCAGCACCUACCUAACAAAAUUAAAACAAACAGCAGUUCAGUUGGAUACAUCAUGAGCUACCAUAUCAAAUGGGUGUCAUGUUAGAACACUAUGGCUAACUCAGUUAAAAGUUUUUGAGGUCUAAAAACAAGCAAAACACUUUUUUGUUGUUUCAAUCAAUAUGCAUAUGCAGGAGACCACAGGACCUAUACUACCACUACAUAAAUUAAUUGUGAAUAUAAAAUCAGUUUAGAUAGGUCUCAUUGCCUGAUUUUCCUGCAGUUCCUUAAACUUUGUAGUGAUCCAUUUUCUUUGAUGUGACCUACAAUUUUCCCAUCGGCAUGCACGGGGAAACGUCAAGUAGCAAUCUAGCAAACUAGGCCGGGCAAUGUCAAUAUGCUCAUAAGACCAUAUCUGUUCAGAACAAUAUAACCAAGGUCAAUAUUGUAAUGAUGCAUAAUAGUUACUUAAAAGAUAAAACAGCCCUUAUAAAUUUUUGCAUUAUACUUGGGCACACCUUAAAUCCUCUGGCACCAAUUCCCCAUGCUGUUUUGCAUAAAUAAUCAAGCAAAACACUGUGCUCCCUACUCAGCCUCUCUUGUGCUUUUAUUUCGCAAAAAUUUUAGGAAGAAAGAGAGAAGAUGGAGGGAGGAAAGAGUGUUGAGGUUGUGUAUGUAAUGUCAUAAAAAAGAUGCUCCAAAUAUUUAUGUGAAGACUAUAGGGAUAGCUCCUUGACUAAACAAGAAACAUAUGACAGAGAAUCAAGAAAUAUUAGAGAUAGAGUUGAAGAAACUUACUUGGAGAAAUAUAAGACAACUUCCUACAUAUUGUACAUUCAUUUCCUUUUUUUUGGACAACCACUUAAUUAUGUCCUCUAGAACAGCUGCACCCCAGGCCAGUUGAUGCACAUUAUCCAAGUCUUUGAGAACAGAAAGAUAUCGGGAAUCUACUUUUCCAUUUGCAUUUGGAAAAAGAAAUGUCCCAAAUGUAAAUAAUAAAAAAGCUCUGGCAAAAUCAUCAUUAGCUAUCUCACCAAUGGACUCAAGUUUAUUCUCAAUCGACGAAACCAUGAUUUUCCUAUUUGAAAUAGUAGCACCAUAUUCUUUUUCUAAAUCUGAAAAAGGUUCAUCUUCCUUUAAGACUACGGAAUCACCCAUUACACGUAGUCCCAGAAUGAGUGCAACAUCCAUGAGAGUAAUUGUAAUCUCCCCAGGAAGAAGUAUGAAAGCAUGCUUCUCACAACUCCACCUUUCCAUUAAUUCAACUAAAAGAUUCUUGUUAAGUGUCUGAAUAGGCAUCUCAAGGAGAUGCCCAAAUCCCAUCUUCUUUAUUGCAUUUCUUUGAUCAUCUGUUAGUUUCUCCACUCGCCUGACAAAUGAUGGCAAGGAAAACCUGGUACUGAAAUUCCCAACCUGCAUGCAUAUAUUAAGUGCACAUUUUUAUUGACAUAAGUGUGUGUUUUCCAUAAUCCUGCAUAUGUCAAUUAUAUGUGUGCUUUAUCUAAGGUUUUAUGUAUGUCACAAAACUAAAAAAGCAUAAGUUAAAAAUUUUUUCUCAUUGCCACUUGUCUUUUAGAGAAGUUCUAUUUACCUACCACCAAUUCUGUUUUUCUUUUUCUGAGUUUGUUUUUUCACUCUAUAACCAAAAUUCUCUUUCAGAUGUCAUCCACAAGUUCAAAAACACUGAAUAAACCAAAUCAACCAAACACUUUGUCCUAUCCUUAGUAACCAUGUCAUUCAAGCUUGAAAGAAGUAGAUAGCUUAGGAUACUGAGUUAUAUUCCAAAACACUUUGUCUAUUUACCCUUGUUGUAUUGAUCAUUUUUGCAUCUUAAGUAAUGAUAGCUUAGAUAGAAUCAGUAUUGAUUAAUACAAGACAAUCCAAUCAAAUACGCAAAAGACAACAUCCAACAAAGCUGAACAGCAAAAGAGGAUGCUUGUUUAGUGCAUAUUGUGAUAAUAUAUUAACAGAAGAGUGUGAGAUGGACAAGUGGAAAGAACCGAGGAAGUUAAGACAAAUAUCAAAUGCAUUUAAGAAGCAUCAAAACCAACACUGCUUGUGCUUUUAAAGUAUAUGAAGUUUGAUCACUAUGUUUUGAAAUGUUAUAUAUCCUUUCAAAAGUUUCACUCUUUUAUACAAAAGUAGACAGGUGAGAACCUCUUCAGAAAAUUUCAGCAAGCCAGAAGGGAGCAGGUUGCAAGUGCAAGACAGAGGUACUAGAGGGGCAGUAUGAAGCUAGGAAAUUGAUGACAUUCAGUAGAAAAACCUGCUAUGCUGAUGACCAAUUGGUGAGAUGAUGAAAAUUAUCUCAUCAAACACAAAUUCUUGACAAUGCAGAAAAUAGAACCAUGCAUAUAAAGGUAUAAUGCUGUUGAAUGAAUGAGUGUUGCAAAUGUUUUGCUUGAGUUUGGUUGUUUGAUUCCCAGAAAGUAUUAAGAAAAUUUUAAAAAAAAUAUUAAGGAAAAUGAUUUAUGCACAUUUUGUUUCACUAUGAAAAAUAGUGCAAGAAAAUCAAACACAAUUAAAAUUAGUUAAAAAAUAAUGCAUUUUCCCUCAAAUUUUCCGGAACCAAGAAUGGCUUAAGGUAUAUAAUUUCCAAGUCUUUGUUUACUGCUACUAUAGAACUAUAUUCCCUUCAAUUUUUUUUUAUUUUUUAAGUUUCAAUUGAAAAGAAUUCUACUUUAGGGUUAUGAACGUUCAAUAGGUCUUCUACAGCAAUUUUGUUGUUAGGUCAUGGCAAAAAUACAUGCUUUUUAUAAAAAUAAAAAUAUGGGGAAGACUAGGUACCAUGAGACCAUCCUGAAGUGCCAAUUCAUGACACCCAGGAUUCAAGUCCCUGUAUGGCCACUUCCACAAACUCAUCCCUUCCAGAAUCCCAGAAACAGGGCCACGAAGCAAUGGAUUUUAUGAGCCUUUCAAUCACAAAAAAUGCACUCAGAUCACAAUUUGCUCAAACAAAAAUUGAUACUCUCCACAUGUGUUUCUACGAAUCGCUACUCCCACAGACACAAAAUGACUAAUUUCUGUAAUUUCCAGGUCCAGGUCUCCACAUCAGCCAAGUGAAAUUUCUAAAUUUUUUUCCCAAAUUGAUAUCACAAAAUUUUAAAAAAUAAAAUAAAAUAAAAUAAAGAAAAGGGGGAAAGAAAGAACGAAAUACUUACCGAGCUCCGUUCUUCUUCUAAUCCUAUGGAAGAUUUCCUCGUCGCUCUCUUCAUCUCAACCCAAUCCUUUCACACUCCUACUGUGAACCCUAACUUUCUCAGGGCUUGAGAAGGAAAAGAACAACCAUUUGAAAAUCUUAAUAAAUCUUACUCGGAUAAUUUUUAUUUUUUUAUUUUAUUUUUGUGAAACUUGUGAUGGAAGCUUACAGGCAAAGUUAAAACUAAAAAGGGCGCGAAAAAAUGGCGGGACAUGAUUAGGUGCUUUGCGUUCACAUACGUGGCUUCUGGUGAUUGCAGUGCAGGUAAAAAUUUCGCUGACAAGGUUACCAUCCGUAAUUGGAUUUUGUGGUCCUUGUUGGAAGCUUUGAUUGAUUUUAAAUUUUAAAAUGAAAUUUUCAUGAUAAAUUUAAAAUGUAAAUUUUUUUUUUUUUACCACAAAUAAUAAAUAUUAAAAUUAGAUUUUUUUUUCCAUUUUUGGAUUCUUAAAGACAUUUUCUGUAAAUAAUAUUUUUUGAGUUUCAUUAAUAAUAUUAAAAAAUGUAUAUGCUUAGCGGUGUAAAAAAAUAUACAUAUUAAGUUCCCAAAAAGUAAAAGAUUGUAUUUUAAAAUCACUUUAUUGUUAUUAAUGAUAAUUAAUAAAGAUGAUUCACAAAAACAUGCUAUCAAAUAAUACAAUAUCUUAGAUUUGUCAUAUGUUUUGUGCCAAAAAAAUGUGUCUGAAAGUCCCAAAAAAAGGGUAAAAAAUGAAUUUUAAAAGCAUUUUCUUAUCAUUAACAAUAAUUAAUAAAAAUAAUACCACAAAAACAUGCUAUCAAAUAAUACAUUAUCUAGAUUUAGACAUAUCUCGAUAUUAGUGGUGAUGAUGUGCUUACAAUAUGGUUAAAAAUCCCAUAGAGGUGUACCCUACAUCUACAAUCUAAAAGUCCUCGUUCAAGACCUGGAGAAAGAAAAAGAAAUAAUAGCAUGUGUGUCUACGCAUAUGCACAUUUGUACUGUAAUGCCCGGCUAAAAUCAUAAUUUAGAAAUUAUUAAUUAAUUAAAAUAAUUUAAUAAGGGUAAAAAAGCAUUUUCGUAUUUAAAACACCUAUAUAUAUAUAUAUAUAUAUAUAUAUAUAUAUAUAUAUAUAUAUAUAUAUUAUAUCUUUCCUAUAUUUUCUAUUCAAAAAAUCCUUUUACACAUAGAUCAAAAAAAUCAGAGAGCAUAGGGUUGAAGGUUUGAAGGUUUAGGGUUUGAAGAUCAAUUUUUCAGGUAAGAUUUUUAAUCUUUAAAUUAAUAUUUUAUAUUCGUUAACUAGUUAUAAACACUUUAGAUAUUCUUUGAAAUAUCUUAAUUUUGAUUAGAGUUCAUUUAAUUAAUUUAUAGGUCAAAAAGAUUAAAAAUUUAUUAACAUAGUUUGAUUUAUUAAUGAAGAUCAAUAAAUUUUGAUUACUCAAAUGAAUAGAUUUAGAAAAAAAAAUUAAAAAAAUUAUAUAGUUUUGGAUGUGAAAAUUACAUAAAAUUGUGAGUAUAGAGGUUAAAAGUUUUGACUUUAGAGAGUGGAAAAAAAUGAUGAAAGAAGCGUAGGAAGGAUUUGACGUGUUGAAAAAAAAAAAAAAAGAAUUGCAUGAGGGAUUUGUUAAGUUUAAGUAGGAGAUUUAAAUAAUAGUAAUAAUAAUUUAAUGCAAAUAAAUAUUCUUAAAAGAUUUAUUUUAGAUAAGUUAGAAAAAAUGAAAUAAAUUAUUGUUUAGGAAGUUGAAAAUAAUAUUGGAUGGUAAUAAUAUUAAUAUGGGAAAUUAAUUAAGAUACCUAAUACUAAAUAAAAUAUUUUUGAGAUUGUCAAACUUACAUAUUUAGAUAAAUAAUCAAUAAUCAAUAUUGUGUAUGAUAUUAUGUUAGGUGAGGAGAAAAUUAUUCAGAGUUAAAUACUUCAAGAUUUUGAGUGCUUUUUCAAGGUAAUGGAAAUUAAUGUUAAAAAAAAUAAUUUUCUUUUUAUAUUGUAUUAUGAAAAGUGUAAAAAUAUUAUUUUUAUCUUUUUGUAUGGAUCAAAUAUGUGUUUUGUAUGGAAAGUAUAUUUGAGAAUCUUCUUUAUUUAUUUAUGAAAAGCGAAAAUUUUUUGAGAUAUGAUAUUUUGUUUUGCAAGUUUGAAUUAAUGAAAUAAGAGAAAAAAUUUGGAGAUAUGAUAUUUUGUUCUGCAUGUUUGAAUUAAUGAAAUAAAGUGUUUAACUCUAGUUCCUAUGGCCCUAGUCAACGGGUUAUAAUUGUUGACAUUUCUAUGGCCCUAAUCAACGGGUUAUAAUAGUUGAUAUUAUAUGACCCUAGUCAAUGGGUUAUAAUAGUUGACCUUAUAGCCCCUAGUCAACAGGUUAUAAUUGUUGACUUUUGGUGUUAUUCACCUUAAAUAGAACAAAUUUGAAACUAGUCACUUAUUUGUGAAGUCCCACCUAAUUGGGCACCAUUUGUUAUUUAAUAAUCAGAGUAAGAUAUUUUGAAUGCAUUUGAUUUGGUUUUGAUGAGAAAUUGUUUUGAAAUGGAUAUGAGAAAGUUUGUUGAAAAGUUUGAAUAUAUUAGUAUUUCGAACUCAAAAGUUUUUAUGAAAAUAAGUAUAUGUUAUAUCUCCUAUUUGCAAAUAUGAUUAAAAAUAUUUAAUCCAUGAAACUGCAUUGAUGUUCCUUAUUGAGUUUUAAGUUUAUGCCCCUUCGUUGAUAAUUUUUCAAGUACUUUUAGUUCGGGCGAGGAGUGAUGGCUAGGCUUAGGAAUUUUUCUUUGUUAGGUCUUUGGUUCAAACUUUUUUUUUGGACAUUGUUUAGAUCUUAAAAUUUAUUUUCCAUUUAAAUUAUUUGAAUUUGGAGUUAUUUGGACAAUAACACUCUGGUUGAUGUGUUAGUUUUUUUUAAGUUGAUACUUGGAGAUUUUAGAAUUUUGUUCUACUACUCUGAACAGGAAUUUGGUAAUUGGUAAAUUUCCAAUUACAAUACGAAUGUUUGUGUCGUUUCCACUUUGAGUCAUUGGGUUUGAGGUGUGAAAUGACCGUCAUAACCUUGUAGUGGGUUUUGGGGCGUGACAUGUACAUAGAUCUUCCAUUUAUUUUAAAUCUAGAGAAGAAAAGAGCCCUAUUUUUAAUAAAACACUUAGGGGGAAAGCUCGAUUGAUUAAGCCUAAACUAACAUCCCUUGUAUUUACUCCAUCAUAAUACAAACUAGAUAAAUCAAAUGAACCUAAUCACAAUUUAUUUUGUUUAAGUAGCCUAACAAUGGACUUAUAUGUUGUUAGUCCAAUGGUUUUCCUAAUCACAUUUUAAUGAUAACAAGCCAUGAUCACUAUACUAGUAAUUUAAAAUCAAGAUGAGUUUCAAGUUUUAUUUUGAGAAAUUCAAAUAAAAAUUCAAGAUAAUCAUCAAAGAAUCAAAGAAGUGCAAGUCCAAGGGUGCAUGAAGACUGUUCAAGCCUAGGAAUUCUUUGUAAGAUGAAUAAAUGGGUGCACUUAGGAUUUUCAUAUAAAAUCAUGCAUUUUUCAAUACUUGAUUUUUCAUUAAAACCCGAGUAUUCUCACAUGAUCCUUAGGCAAAUUAAUUUAAACUUGACUUACUAAAGUACCUAUAAACCUUGACUAAGUCUUAGAAGGAAAAAAAAAAUUAAAAAAUCUAAGUUUUUAGGUCAAAAUAGGUGAAUCAAAGAAAUUGCUCAUCAGGGAACCAAUCGAUCAAUUAAGCCUUCCUAGUAGAGGACCAACUGAGGAAUGCAAAAAAAAUUUCUCUCUCAUUCAAUAGUUAUGCAGUCCUAGUUGAUAGGAACCUUUCUCGGUCAAGGGAAAGCUCUUUCUAAUUGAGGUUUGGUCUAGGGUCCAAUAAUCACUUGUUGUGCAUUUGGUGCACAACAGUUAGUCAACUGAUUGAAUUAGAGCUCGACUAGACGAGGCUAGGUUAUGCCACUUUUGGUGUCCAAGCUAGAAACCUAUAAAUUGAGAGUUUCAUUUCAUUUACUACAUAGAAAACGUCUGUAAUUAUCUUCACAGCUACUUGUUUCUCAUUAAAAGUUUUUUCAUACUUUGUGCAUUGAUUCUUCAUUUGCAAACCACCUUAGCACCUUUGUCAUUCAUCCUAGCUUUCUUUUGUAUUUGUUCAUUUAUUAAGUUAGGGUAAUAUCUUAUUUCAUUGAUUAUUAAAGAGAGGUUGCGAGUAUUUAAAGUUUUAAGUUGAGGUAUACUUGAAGGGAUAUUGUUGCUAGGAACCCUAGAUUUAUCCAUUCCUUUACCCUGAAUUGUAUAGGUGCAUGCAAAACUACCAUAGGUCGCUAGAUCCUAUACAAGGAAAGCAAAAAAUAGAUUUUUACAAUUCUAGGAUCAAGAGGAAAGCCAUUAGAGAAAUUUACCUUUGAUUUGGAUGUUCCUAAAUCAAUUCCGCUUGGUGAAGAUGAAGAAUAAUGAAUCUAAAAGUCUCGUACACCCAAGAUCUUUCUCCUUAUGACUCGAACCAUGAUCCCAACACCCCAAAAUGUGGACUUUGGAAAUGAUGAUCUCUUGGCUCUCACUAUCUCUCUUUUUUUUUUGAGGUGGAAGACACUGUUUAUCUUAAAGUUGUGGAAACCCUAGCCCCUAUGGGGUAUUUAUAAGGUUCCCCUAUUGGGCUCACUAAUUUGAACUCACCAAGGCUUAGGUUACUUAAUUUAACCCAAAAUUGGUCUUAAUUGAUUAAUUAACCAUAUAAGGUCAUCUAAUUUAUCAAUUAGUCCAAUCCAGAGAACUUAUUCAGUAUCUCUUAUGCAACCUUGUGUAAUCACCAAAACACCCUUAUGCACAAGAAUGAACCAAGAGUCAAUUCAUCUUUCAUAAAUCAUGUCAUUAUGGUAUAUGAGCUUAAAGUGGAGACCAUUGGGACCCAUAGAAGUACUAUCUCUUUCAAAAUCCAAUUUUGAAAUUUAUUCAACAUUCCACCAAAGAGAAUCAAUUGCACUUCAGUAUCUUAAGUAAUUAAAAACAAGAAGAAGCUCGGGGUCCAUGACCUAUUAUACACCAUAUGCAAAUUUAUCAUGAAUUGAUGUUCGUAAUCUAACAAGGUAGUGCUAUCAUCUAUUAAGAUUAUCUCUUCAAUUAUUGAGUUAUAAAUUCCAUUUAUUAUGUGAUCAAUUGAGAUAUUAUAACUCUAAAGAGCAUAUAUCAAAUUUCCACUAAAUGAAAUGUUAUGACCAUAGUUUUCUAGAUCACAUGUCCUUUGAAUCACCCAAUGAGACACAUUGUCUCAAUCCAUGAGAUAUCAUGGUGUCUUUAUUGAGACUACCUAUUACCACCAACCUCCAUCAAAAGUGGCUCAAUCCAUAGGGAUAUAUAACCACUUUAGGAUCUCACUCAUAGGUUAAAACCUCUUGUUAACUUUGGCGCAUGCUCAAUAUCCUCUUAAGGUUGAGAGUUAAUGCAGUAUAGUAGUCUGGUGAAUCAUGAAAAUUGAUAGCCUUAUGUCAUGAUUCACCGUAGGUCCAAUCCAAUGCUCAUCAUAUGCGCUAGUACACUCAUUAUAGGAAAAUCAUCCUGACAACCAAGACAAAUUAUCCCACUAAUUAUGAGGUAGUAUACUACAGUCUCAGAUGGAUAGCCCAAAUCCAUGAACCUACUAUGAACAACUCAUCACUCUACAAGGAAUCCAUGACUUGAAUCUUCUGUGCAACUCCUAAUGCACCCAAGUCAUGUACAAUGUAAGUGAUGUAAGGUGUGUAUGUUCAAAUAACCUAUUAAUACAAAUGAGAUAUUUAAGGGAAACUAAGAAACAUAAAUAAAUAAAUUUAUAAAUGAAUUUCAAUCUGUUACAUCAUAUCAUGCUUUCCAAUGCUCAAUCCCAACAAUUGUAAUGUCCAUUGGAGCCAGAAACCAAGUGUAGAGCAUUGGAACCUUUGAAGCUUGAGGAGAGUGAACGUAUAUAAGAAGUAUCGAACCACUAUAAAAACUAUGUUUGCUUUCACUAUAGAUCUCUUUAUUUAUUCCUUUUUAAUUUGUUUAAAUUUGGUAUGUUUGGAAAAGAUUUUUAAAAACUCAAUUCACAUCAUCUUGGGUGAUUUUCUUAAUUGAUUAGCCUUAAAUCCACGUAUGUAAAUAAUAUUUUUUUUCAUUAUUGUUUGUGUUUCACAUAACUUUAUUAUUUAAUAAUGAUUUUUUUUCUUCAUGUAGGAAGGAGAUCAUAUUAUUAUCACCACUAGGAGUUGUUUAUGCUAAAGACACUAUAACUCAAAGCUUUUCUUCCAAUUUAUUAAUAUUUCAACAUUUGAUGUAUUGGGCAAUCAAGUUAAAUACUUUAAAAUUUUCAUGCUAUUUCUAUUUAUAUUUCAAACUAUAUAUAUUAUUGACAUAUAAAAAAUAGUUAAUUAAAGUUUAGAUGUAUAAUCAUAGUGAACAAAAUAAGUGUAGCAAAAAUCACAUGCACUUGCCAAUCACCCCCUCAAACUUUAAAUCUUACGUCCACCAUUCUCUUCAGGUUUUGGGCUAGUCAAAACAUGUCCUAAAUUCACUAUAGAAAUUGCAAAAAAUAUCAUUUCCUACCAUCUAUUAAAGAAUGUUUCAUUAAAAGAAUCGAUUUUAGAGGUAUCGGGACGAGUGUGAACUACGGAAGUUUUUUUUAACAAAAAAUAAAAUAAAAAUUGAUAUACUUUUAAGAUUAUUGAAAAAAUUAGGUCUAAAAAAAUUAUGCUAAACUAAAAUUAACCAAGCGCAAACAAAUAGGAAAAUAAAUUCUAAUUAGGGUAUCCAUCAUAUUUGCCUUAGGUGUGACAAACAUUAUCUUUAAAGUAGAUCUACACUCCUCGAGUAUCAAACUCGGUGCAAUAGAGAACUAACGUCUUACUUUCAUAAUUCAAUAACCAAAAUCCUUGCUUUAGGUGCACACCUUUAGCAAGGAAUAAUACAGCUCAAUCUUAUAGAAAUUCUUCUAAAUGAAAAGUUGAAAAUAUUGGAAUUAGGGUACAACAACGUUCAAGUAUUACAAUAGAGUAUGGUACUACACUAACAAAAGGAGACGUAGUGCUGAAAAAUGGCUACAGUAGAUAGUAGAUGUAAUAACGAUAGACAAUAUAACGAUAAUUUGGUUACUAGUUGUAGUCAAGGUUUGAAAUAUCAAUAAACACGAAUAUAUCGGUACUUGAAUUUUACGGAUAUAUUAAAAAUAUUGGUGGAUAUUUUGACAAAAAUAUCAAUGAGGCGAAAAUUAUUCAAAAUUUAUGAAAAUAUUUGGAAAAACUUCAAAAAAUAAUAAAAUUAAUUAAUUAAAAUAUGUAUGUUAAAAUUGUUUUCUAAGUGUAAUUAACAUAGAUAUGGUCAAAGAGAAAAAUAUUGGUAAGUAAGGAUAUAUUGGUCUUAAUAAUUUAUUAUUUACCUAAUAUAAUUAAAUUAAAUUUAUAAAAUAUUAGAACUUCAUUAUUAUUAUUAUUAUUAUUUAAUAUUUUAGUAUUUUAAAAUAAAUUUAUAUUUUUAAUAUUUUAAAAUAAAACAUUAAAAAUUAAAUAAAAUUAAAAGGAUAACUAUAAAAAAAUUUAAAAGUUAAGUGACGGUAUUUUUUUAAAAAUGGGAUUAAUGAGAUAAAUGAUGAUACAUUUAAUAUUAAAGCUAUAAUUUAUUUAAUUCAAAUGUAUUCAAUAAUGUAAAAUAAAUUAUGAUGUCUAUAUGAUUUUUUAAUUUUUAUAUUUUUAUAUUUAAUUAUCAUAUAAAUGAUAUUAAAAAAUACUUGUUAAGAAAAUUAUAAUGAUGGUUUUUAUACAUUUAUUAAUCAAUUAAAUAAAAUUUAAAUAAAAUAAUUAAAUUUUUUUUUUUUAAUAAUGAACUUUAACAUAUUUAUUAUUAACAUAUAUUAACAAAUGAGAACUUGGCCUAGUGGUAACCAGGCUUGAACUCAAUAAAAUUUGAAAUUUGAAGGGGCUUGACGUGUUGACCAUGUUUGACUUACCAAAAAAUCGGUAAAAAAAAAAAAACGUAGCCAAUUUAUAGAAGAAGGAUCCUAACAUUUUAAACCAUGGUUAUGAUGCAAAAGAAGUAGCUAAUUUAUAGGAGAAGGAGAUUACAGAGAGGAAAGGAGAAUGAAUAACUCUAAUGAGAAUGAGCCAAAUCAAUCUAAUAAAUUUCAAAUGUUAUAAAUGUUUAUAACAUUUAUUAAUCAAUUAAAUAAAAUUUAAAAUAAAAUGAUUAAAAUUAUUAUUAUUUUUUAAUAAUGAGCUUUAACAUAUUUAUUAUCAACAUAAAUUAACAAAUAAGAACUUGGCUUAAUAAUAACCAAGCUUGAACUCUAGAAAAUUUGAAAUUUGAAGGGGCUUGGCGUGUUGACCAUGUUUGACUUACCAAAAAAUCGAUAAAUGUCGAUGAAAUAUCGACGAUAUUUUAGCGAAAUAUCCAGACAUUCCAAACCAUGAUUACGAUGCAAAAGAAGUAGCCAAUUUGUAGGAGAGGGAGAUUACAGAGAGGAGAGGAGAAUGAAUAACUUUAAUGAGAAUGAGCCAAAUCAAUCUAAUAAAUUUCAAAUGUUAUAAAUGUGAGGGGCCCUCAUGUAGUAACCAAGCUUGAACUCAAGAAAAUUUGAAAUUUGAAGGGGCUUGAUGUGUUGACUGUGUUUGACUAACCAAAAAAUAAAAUAAAAAACAGAUAAAUGUCAAUGAAUAUCGAUGAUAUUUUAACGAAAUAUCCUGACAUUUCAAACCAUGAUUACGGUGCAAAAGAAGUAGUCAAUUUAUAGGAGAGAGAUAUUACAAAGAGGAGAGGAGAAUGAAUAACUCUAAUGAGAUGGAGCCAAAUCAAUCUAAUAAAUUUCAAAUGUCAUAAAUGUGAGGGCCCUCAUGUAGGAUGUGAGGGGCCCAAAUUCCCACUAUAAUGGGUUUGAGCCCCUUGGAUGUGCAAGGCUCCCACUCACCUCUCCACAAGCUCAUGAGGCUAAGUGAGGUAGAAUAUAUACCUAUAAAAGUACCUGUUCUUUUCCAAUAUGGGAUAGACACUUUUUAUAUUUUUUUUCAUUUUAAAGAACACUUAGACACAUUCUCUUCCAAAACUUGACACUAUAUAAAUGGUGAAAUCUUCAAAAUUGUGUGAACAAAUUUUAAAACUAUAAGAGUUUAUUACACUCAAAACAAACAAUAUCCAUAUGAAAAGGAUUGACUCAUUAUAAAUGGUAUAAAACUAUGUUCCCGACUUGGUAUAAGACUCUGUUGGAGUUGUAAGAAGCAUUUGUUUGUUUGAAUCCAUGAUCCCAUGGGAUAAGACAAGAAUGUCAUGUUUGCAUGAAAGGAAGAUUAUGAAAUAAAGUUAAUUUUAUUCACAUCUCUUGAGUAUUAAUUGAGUUAAAUACAUCUAGCUAUUAUUAAUUUGAAAUUUUAUCAAAUACUUCUCAUACCUUUUCUAUUUGUUAUUUUAAGGGGAUGUGAGUGAAAUUUACCUUUAGAAUAUAUUACAUUAGUUAAAAAGAAAAAGUUACCAAUACUAUAUAUGUAAUCAACUCAUCUUAACUUUAUAGAGAACUUUUGUAACCAUAAAACCUCUUAGCAGAAAAUGGGUGUUACCACCCGUGAUCAACAAAAGAAAAGGAAUAACAAUACUCUUUUUUGUUUACACUAAUAUCAAUAAAUAAAACCUCAUCCUAUAUCUAUAAAUAUAAUGGUAGAAUAAAAGGAAAGAGUACUCUAGUAUUGCCCUCUCCUUUACUCAUUGAUGCUUUAAUUUGGGAAAAGCCUUUCAAGAGUUGAAAACUUUUUCAGAAAAUUAAUGUUGAUGCAAAUUAUAGGCCAACAUCUAAAAAUCUCAUCCAUUGCCAUGAAAUUAUUUUGCACUCACUUUCUGAAACGAGCCCAUGACAUCCUGAAUCCUAUCCUUUAUAUGAGCAAGUCUCACAUGGGAAUUAUCCUCAUUUGUGGGCCAAUGGUUACAAAAGCAUAUCUGUUCACCACUCUACUGUGGUCUCCCAUGGCCCCCAACUCUGUAAAGCUUCUUGAAUUGGCUAAGCACAGAGGCCAUCGCUUGAUCAAUGCAGUGAAACCAUGUUUCACUGCUAUUUUACUAUACUACACCGAAGUGUUUUAAUGGCCAGCAACCAAGGCAGACCAUGACUGGUGGAGACUGGACAGCAGUUGAACCAUUUCCACCUAUUGGGUUGGUUGGGUCAAAACUCCCAUCGAAUGUUUGGUGACUCUUGGGCUUGACCCCAGCUCACCCAUCACCUAAGCUCAGAUAUUAGGUUAUCUUCUUCUGAUCCCAAUUGACAUUCACAUAAUAUAUAGAAAAAAUCAUAUUUUUUCCAACCCCCAACAGUUUCUCAUUCUAUCGUACCUAACUUCAUAAAUAAUCAAGUCCAGUACCCAUACGGCUGUGAUGAAAUCUGAAUGCAAAGGUGUUAACCAAGAAGGUCCAUGUGUUAGAUCUUGUCCAAUCAAGGGUCCACCCUCAAGGGACACAAGCUAAACCUACCAUAAUUAGCGGCUACACGUGCCACCGGUUCCACCGGCCAUUGCGGAUCGGGGCAUUUGCUGACCACAAGAUGGUCGAUCACUUGCUCACGUAUGAUAUGAGUGGCCCAGAAACAGACUUUAAGGUUUAGUCCCUCUCGGACUGGUGCAGAUCCAUUUAAAUCAGCACCGAUGUGUUUAGUAAAACUCUAUACAAAACAAGAUAAAAGUCCCUUUUCUAAUUUCCAAAUGAAAAGCGAAAUUAAUAUCACAUGAUCAACUUUUUAUAAACUUUUUUGUAAAAAAGUGAAAUGUUUCGUGUAACGCUUUGGGUGAAUGACAGUAACAUCAUGGAAAAGGGGAAACAUAAGUAGGGUUCACUUUGUGUGACCAUGCCUGCAGAGGGUAAAAGGGAAAAGAUGGAAAGAUUUUUUUUUUUUAUGGAUAGGUGUAUUUCUUUCACUUAAUUAUAGUUUUAUGAGCCUACCAUGACCUCAAAAGGUAUGUCCCAUCAAAUGAAACAAAGGCAGAUCAUAUCAUACAGGCAGACCAUCUAACCCAACGGUUGUGAUGAGUGGGGGAAUAGGUUUGAUAUUUACAAUUGUGAACUUGGGAUUUGGUACUGAGGAUUAUUAGGAUUUAUAAAGUUGCUGAUCAUGAUUAGGUGGGCAAAAAGGGAUCCCAAAUGUAUCUCGCUUUCACUAUGUAUCUUCUCGUUUGUGUCUUGUAUAUAUCUCUUGACCCCUUCAAAGCCUACAAUCAUCACUUCACAAGUCCUGUGCGCCACAAAGGUCAGUCCUCUGUAGUAUGUGGAUGUGGAUGAUAAGGAGAAGAGUAGAGGUCACCUGCAACUAGGAAUUAUGAAGCUCAGGUAAGGCUGUGAAAAGUUGUUUCUUGUUCCAAUUUCGAUCCUCUUUGUGGGUUUUCUUUUCCCCUUUUGCCUUCUUGUUGUUGGGUUUUGGUUCCAAGGAGAAACCAAGCUGGCUAGAGAGGACCAUCUCUGAUUGAGAAGCUGGAAUCGUGCAGCAAACGGUCCCUUAUUCGGAUAGCAAAUUACCAUUUCUUUUUCCCUUAUCCUAGAGACAAAGAAGAUGCUCUUUCUGUGUCCCUUUCUAGUUGGAAUCUCGACAACAUUACUGUAAGUCUGUAACUCGAAAGAACAGCCUUCGUCUUUUGCCAUAAUUGAAUCAAUAAGAGCGUAAGAGCAGAAAACAUAGGCCUGCACUUUUCCCUUUUUUUGCUUCUCUGCAGCUACUUCCUCUCUUGGGUAACUCCCUUUAAGUUUUCCAAGCCGUUAGUGGUUAGAUUAACCCUUCUGCUAUAGCCCCCCGAGUAAGCUCAGCUGGGUUUGUGAAGUUGUGGAGUGCGGAACCACUGAACCAAGCUAGAAAAUGGUGAAUCCGAUUCUUCAUCAUCUUCAUCAUCAUCAUCAUCGCCUCCUGCUCGAUACGCCGGAGCCGAGCACCAUGUCAAAUGGGAACAGUACUCAUGAGGCUUAUGUGAACGAGACCAACUUCGACACCAACAUGGUGAUCAUCCUAGCAGCCUUGCUAUGUGCUCUAAUAGGAGCACUUGGGCUCAACUCAAUCGUGCGCUGCGCCAUGCGCUGCAGCAGAAGGCUCUCCCCGGAGUCCCAGGGGCAAGCUGCUACUGGCCUCAAGAAGCGUGCUCUGCGCCAAAUUCCGGUAGCAGUUUAUGGGCCCGGAGUGGAGAUUCCGGCCACUGAAUGCCCAAUUUGCCUGGGCGAGUUUGUGCAGGGGGAGAAGGUUAGGGUGUUGCCCAAAUGCAAUCAUGGGUUCCAUGUGAGGUGCAUAGACACAUGGCUGGUGUCACACUCAUCCUGCCCAAAUUGUCGCCACUCAUUGCUUGAGCGCCCAACAACUUCAGACGCAGCUGGUGAGGUUGCCCCGGAACAGCCACAGCCAAAUGGGUCCACCCACCAAGGUAGCAUUGUCAUUGCUGUCCAUGAGACAAGUUAAUAAUGCUGGCCUUAAAAUUAAGCCUACUAGGCUACAUCUUUUGUUUCACCAGUACUGAACUACCCCAGAUUGCAAAUGCUAAAAGUUGUUUUUCAGAUGAUUCAAAAUCAUAGUAGACAUCAAACCAACAUGCUUCUGUUAUGGGCUUAUCCACAUUUCUCUUCAUUUCUAAACAAAUGGAUCAAUACUAGAGGAGAAGUUUCCGUGAUCUUUGUCCAUGUGCCUUACCAAAAUCCAAAGGUUUUUCAAUUGGGUGGUGCAUUAGACAAGCUUUCUUUUCUCCAUUUAAUAAUCUGUGUAACGGCCAAAACUGAUUUUGGCGAUGUAUUGGUGAGUGAAAGUGCCUGCAUACCACCCACUAAAGUGGGCUGAGAUUUCCAAAUUUCACAUACUCUGUUUGGUUGGGGAGAAAGUGGGUGAGAGAGAGGGAAAUUUUGGACUCUUUUCAACCGUAUGGGUUUGGAAUGGUUGAAAGGUUAUAAAAUCUGUUGCGUCUACGCUUCUUAGCAAUUAAUGGAGCAUUAAGGUCUCAACCUACAAUCGUUGAAAUAAAAAGAAAAAAGAAGAUAACUUCCUUGGGCUGGCUCAUCUUAGCUCUAACAUACUAAAAUCUCAUUUCAGAGCAAUGCCCCCAGUAAAUUUUCCUGCACCUCACACCUUCUGGGUAUGAGGUCCUCCAAUCAAUGACAUUAAUCAGUGGGCCAUCCACUAUCUACCUCAUUGAUUGAAUUGCUUCUAAAUCCUUCCUGUUCCUUCAACUGCAAAGGAAGCUUUGAAUUUUAACCAUCCACGGAACAUCAGAUAAUGACAGAUGGGGGGCUCGAUGAACUCUUUUGUUUCAUCUGCUCCUCCUUAGAUGACCCAUCAUUCCAUGCCAUAUCAUAAACUGUUUUAUUCCCAAAUAAACAACCCUUGUUGAUUAUAUCUUCUGAAAGAGCAAUCAAUCCAAUGGCAGUAGUUAGUACUUAAUCAGAACCAUCAAGUUGGACACCAUUUUUAAAGCUCUUUUUGACAGUUCCAGAAAAAGUAUUACAUAAUAUUUUAUCACCAAUCAGAGCACUUUGGUACGGAUUUUGCGUAUGAUAUUGAAGUUUUUGAACUAAACUUAGGAGUGAUGUAUUUUUUGACAAUACCUUUCAAGGAAAAAGUUCUAAAACUAUGGCCAUGAUUCCUAAAAAGAACUAAGAUUUUUUUCCAUAUUAAUUCCAUCAGUUAGAAACACAGCUUUGUGGGUCUAAGAUUUGUAAGUUGGGCUAAUUUUGAUUCCAUUUCAAGUUAAGGGAUUUUGAAAUGGGGAUCCCCACCAUGGCCAACCUAAUGUUGGAUUUGAAUCCUGAGAAAAGUUGCUUAAUGAGGGAAUUAGGGGUUUGGCCCCAACAAAUUGGCAUCACUUCCCACAAGACCUUGUAUCAAACCAAUAUUUGAGAAGAAUACUAAAUUUUUAAUAUAUGCUAAUAAAAGAAAAUUAAUUAAUCUGUAAAUAGCAAAUACAAAAAAAUGGAAAAUUAAAAUUUGGCAAAAAUGAUAAAUUAGUCUCCUAAAACCGCUGUACCUUUUCACUAAAAACCCUACUCACCAAUCAUCAUUUGGGCCUUGACCUCCAAAAGCCCACUUUCCAAGUCCAUGGUUUUCAUGGUCCAGCACGAACCCCAAACCCAAAUGGUGGUGAGUACUGAGGAGUGAGGAUGAGAGCAAUCAAAAUUUAAAAUCAAGGAAAAUUCAGGGGUUCAACGGCUAGUAAACAGUACACCAUUGAAUUCUCGUCUGAGAGCACCAAAUGCAGGCAAAUCAAGAGCAGCAGAAGCAGCCAUGGAGUCUCCAAGUUCAUGCCAAGGCCAAGAACUUCAAUUUCAAACUCAAGGCCACCCAAAUCAUACCCUCUCACAAGUUCUUUCGCCUCUCAGUCUUCCUCAAGGUCUGCUCUUUUUCCCUUAAAGCUAGAUCUGAACGCGGACCUCCAGCGUCUAGGCAACACCGGACGCCACUCAGAUCCAAAUUCGCCAGGAUUCUCGAGAAAAUUCGGUCCCGAGGCACCAAGAAACCAGCCAUUUCUGCUGUGAAAACCUCGAGUCGUCGACGCCCAGAAGCUAAACUUCCCCAAAAUCAGCGACCGAAACGAUUCGCUUACGAGGUAAUGCGAAAUUACACAUGUUUGUUUUGAUGUUGAUCCAAAUUCUAAUCAAAAUUUUGAUGGGUUUUAUGUGUUCACAGGAACCUAUCUACGUGGGUUCGAUAAUGAUGAGAGGCCUGGCUUUUCUUUCUCGCUCGGUCUCGGUGAAGGACCACAGUGGAAUCAUCAUCCACACCUCAAUAAUCUUGCUGUACCUUGCUUUAUUGUUUAAGAAAUACACGACAAGAGAAACUAGUAAUCUAUUGGCAACUUUGAUUGCUGCAAUAGUGGGUUGUUCGCUUGUGUUUGAUAUGAGCAGUGGCCUGAAUUAUAAUGGCGGCCUUGUUUCAGAAUGUGUUUGGACGAUCUGCAACUUGGCAGCCUCUUCUGGGUGUUUGUAUGUAUUUUCCCAGGUAAAUUUUGCUCCGUUCUAGCUCUUUAUUUUGCUCUCUCACACUUGAAGUUAAGAUUGAAAGCUUCAUCAGUAAUCAGAGGCCACUUGCUCUUAAAUUUCAGGUAAUUUUCUCAAGGUUUUUUCAAUAUAUGAAAGCACUCAGAUGAUUGGGGUCUUCUGGCGAUGAUACUGGUAAGGCUUCUUGUUUGUUCCAUUGGUGUUUUCUGCAAUGGUUCAAGCCAGAUACUUGAGGAGUAAAUAUUUUACAAAGUUUGAAUAAAUUUCUUUAUUGUCCAUUUUUAAGACACUUAAAAGUUUGUGAAGCCAGAAAUCAAAUGUAAAGCUAAAGGUCACAGGCCAGUAGACAAAGUGUAAUAAGAAUUGGUGUCACAAAAAUUUGAAAAUUUUAAUUUUAUAUACUGCCUUCAUGCUUUAAUUUAUUGUUUGUAAAGUAUCUUUCUCAACUUCACCUUACAGUGAGUGAAGUCCCAACCCUUUGAAGAAGGUGGGGGGGAUGGGAGGGUGAAGGGGGAGUGGGGAUCAUCACGGUAGGCAGGGGCAAAGCUAGGAAUAGGAUACGGGAGCAAUAGAAUAGAGGCUAAUUUCAAGAGGGGCAAAUAUAAGCCAAGAAGCAAUGUUUGGCUCAUCUCUCUUAAAACUGAGGUAUUUUUAUUUUCCCCCUUUUGGGCCUUAGGUGGGAAAAAAAGAUUGUGGAAUUCUAAAUUUUAGAUAUAAAUUGUUGAAAAUGAGUUUGGAAUUGGAAUGUGUUUUUCUUUUUUCUUUUUUAACUUCUUUUUGUUUAAUUAAUCAUCCCAUGAUUUUUAUUUUUUUUUAAAUCAAUGUUUCCCUUGAGAUUUAAAAAAAAACAAAUUAGGUUAGCUAUAUAUUUCAUCUUUUUUUAAAAAAAAUUAGUUGUUAAAAAAUAUCAAACUUUUAAGACUCGAGGAAAAUUAAAAAUCAGGAAAAAUUGACAUUUACCAUUGAGCGAUUUUAUAAAAUUGAUAGAAUUUUAGCUAAAAUUCCAUUAUUUUCAUAAAAACAAAAAUAUAAUGUGGUUCAUCAAUUGAAGAGGCUUUUGCAUUUAAGGUAGGCUAUAACUAUUGAUCGAGGAAAAAACCUUAAUCGAUCGAGCAUUGGUCGACAAGUCACUUAACCAAUCAAGAUUUUUGUCUUACAAUGAUUGUUUGUUAUACUUUUGUUCUUCUAACAAUUAAUAACUUAAUUAACCAUCAAUUGAUUGGUUUAGUUUAAAUUGUUCCUAAAUGUCAAAUAAUUCACAUUUUUAACAUAAUUUUUCCAAAAUAAAAAAAUAAAAAAUUGUUGCAUGACACCAUAUGGAAAUCUCAACCCACCAAAUGUUUGACAAAUAAACAAGAAGACCAUUCCUUCAAACAAAGAAAACGAACAAAUAAAGAAGCUUCCACCCACUACAUGUCAAAAUACUAAUAUUAUAAACAAGCAUGAUGACUAUUAGUCUAUUAGAAUAAUGAUUAUUGGUCCAACUCAAUUGAAAAAAUAUAUCUCAGGCAAUAAUAAAGAAUAUAACAACAAAUAAUAAUAUAUUAAUCUUGUCACCCUCAACCAUCCUCCCUUCAUUCUAUCUAAUUUAUUUAACCAAGAUUGAGAGAAUAUUUUUUUAGAUGCCUUAAAAAAACCAUUAAUUAAAGGUUAUAAAAACUAGGGGUGACAAAAUUUAACAUGAUUGGUUAAUAUGACACAACCCUAACACGUUUUUUGCGGGUUUGAGUUAAGUAUAAAUAGUUUAGAUCAAAUACGCAUUAAUUUAGAUCAUUAACCCACAUAACAUGAAUUUGACCCCAUAUUGAACCAUUUAAUAAUCUCGUUAUUAAUCUAAUUAUAUUUUCAAACUACUUAGUUAAUAUUUGACUUAUUUUAAAAUUUUCUUUUAAAUAAAUAGGUCAAUUGAUUCAUAAACAUUAAUCAUAUAAAUAUAUACAAUUCUUUAACUCAAUUCGAUUAUUAAAUAAGAGGACUUGAUUAUUAAAUGUAUUAAAUGGAUUACACAACGUGUUACCUAUUUAAUAAUGAGGUAGUAUUGGGGUUUAUGUUUUCUAUACGAUUAUUAUUCAUGUCGAGUUUAGGUUUAUGUAGUAAAAUACCUAAAAUUUGACAUGACACAAACAUGAUUCACUACUGUGAAUUGCCAUCCCUUUACCAAUAGAAGAUUAAGAAUAAAAUAAUAUAUAAAUUUCAAAUAUCGUUCGGUCAUGGGUUGUCUAUGGCUCCUUAAGAAAAGUAGUGGUUGCAUCAUCAUUAGAAGUAAUUGCAUCCUUAUUUGAAGUGUGACUCCAUUGUAGUUAUUUUGAAUUCUUCGAUAAGAGUAUGGUAAGAAAACUUUUGAAUGAAUGGAAUAGUCAAUCUUGAUCGAAAAAAGACUUACUUUUGAAGUCAUUGUUUAUAUAAAUUAAAAGUCGUUGAAAGUUGCAUACCUCAAUAUUUUUAAAUCCAUAAAUUAUGACAACUAAGGUAGUUAAAUGUGUUUAAUGUACGUUUAGUCAUAUUUUUAUUUUGUUUUUUAUUUAUAUUUUAUAUUUUGUUUUUAAAAUAAAAAAUUUUACAUAUAAAAAUGAAAAUUCUUUUAUAAAAAGUAUAGAUUCGUCUUAUAUCUUUAAAAGUAAUUUUAAAACCUUCUAAAAUUUAAGGUAAUAUUUUUUUUUACAUCAAUUAUUUUGAAAUAAUUUUUAAAAGUAUUAUUUUUUAACAUAAAUCUCUAAGAAUUCUUGUACUUUAUAUAAAAUGUAAUAUCAUUUUAUAAUUUUAAAAAUAAAAAAGAGAAAGUAAAGGUAAUUGUUUUUCAAAAUAAUUUUAUAUUAUCUAAAUAAAGAAAAAAAAAACAUGUUUGGUAAAUAGAAAAGAGAUUUCUGAUAUUAAAAACAAAAAACAUGAUAGGGUUUAUUUGGUAACUAUUUUAAAAAAUAAUUAUAAAAAAUAGUUUUUUAAAGCUAUUUUUAAUUUUUGUAAACAGAAAUAUAUUUGAAAACUUAAAAUGUUUUUAAUAUGUUUUAAAAAUAUUCUUUUAUAUAUAAUAUUUUAUUUUUAAUAAUCUUACAUUUUGUAUAAUUAUUUUUUAAAACAACCUUACAACAAGAAGUGAAAAUCAUAAUUGUUUUUUAAAAUAGCCUUUAAAAAACAAGUGAAAAUAACAUAAAAUAACCAAAAGAUGUUUUCUAAAAAAUACACCAUAUUAAAUAGAAUACAAUUUUUGAUGGUCAAAUGUGUUUUUUUAUUAUAGAGAACAUAAAAUUGUUUUAAAAAAUAGUUCACAAUGCUCGUGAUUUUAGAUAAUAUUUUUUAAUUAUAUUUAGUUAUUUUCUAAAGAGUUAUUUUUAAAAAUAAUUAGAAAAAUAUAAAUAAGGAUUAAAAACUUAUAUAUAAAAAUAUAAAAAACAUGUUAAGAAUAUUUUAGUUUUCAAAUAGAAUUUUAUUUUAUAAAAUAUUAGAAAAUGGUUUAAAAAAAUUGUUCUAAAAAUGGUUUUAAAAAAUUCUUAUGAAAUAUUGUUUUAAAACAUAUUAAAAACAUAAAAAUCAUGUGAAGAACAUUUUAGUUUUUUUUUUUUUAAAGCACUAAGUAUAAAAUUUAUUUUCAAAACAUAAAAAAUAUGUUAAGAUUAUUUUAAUUUUUUAAAUAAAUUUUAUUUUAUAAAACAUUAAAAAAUAAUAUUUAAAAAUUGUUAUUGAAAACGGUUUUAAUAAUUCCAAAAUUUUCAUUUCAACAUGCAAAAUUGUCAACAUUUUAUCGAGCGGCAAAGCAGGCCCUUCACCAAUGCUUCAUCCUGAAAACCGAAAGUAGGCCCGUGAACCAGGCCCAGGCCCAGGAGACAGCGGUGGGCCCGAAUUCAGCCACGGGAGCAGGGCGCGUGGGAAAAGGCACCAAAGAGGAAGAGAAACAAAUAAAAAAAUGAAAAAGACAAAAAGGGGGGGGGAGGGGGUGAUGUUGAGUAGUGGGUUUGAAUGGGAAAACGGGGACCGUAGAUCUACGGGAGGCAAGAGCAGAUCUGACGGGACAGGUUGAGAGUCAAAGAGCUAUCUUGAUGGGUCUCUUUGACCACACCCUCCCUCUUUCUAUUUUAAUAUUUAUUUUAUUAAUUAAUAAAUGACUCAAGUUUUCCAACUUUGACUGCCUUGUCACUUCAUUCCAGGCCCCUCUUCCUUGAAUCUCCAGCCACUCUGCUCCUUCACCCCCAUUUUUAUCAUCUUGCCCCUCCCCCUCCCCGGCCAUCCCCCUAGGAAACCAAACUCAAGGGGGCAUUCAGGUAAACUCACAGUGAGAAAGCCACUUCUGUUGUUUUACUGUAACAAUAAUAAUAAUGAGACUUAAUAAUUAAAAAUAAAAAUAUUUGAAUUUUUAUUAAUUAAGUAUAAAAAAGGAAGGGGGGUUUUGGGUAGGUUUGACUAGUGCUUCAUUGGGGGCUCCAUUCCAAUAUUCUUAUCAUUUUUUUAUUUUUAUUUUUAUUUUUUUUUCUGUCAUACUUUUUCUCUCUCACAAGUCACAAGAAAAAUCUUUCUCUUCCUUUUCCUCAUUUUCCUUUCUUUGACUUGCUCAGGGUUUCGUUUUUAUAGUAUCAAAUCUCCCUCUCUUCUCUGUUUAUCUCUUCCAAGAUCGAAACUUUACUGCACCCAGGGCGCAAUCGAGAUCAGUGGCUGUUGCAGAGACGACUUGUUUUGGGUUCGGUUCGUGUUUUUUUUUUUCUUUUUUUCUUUUAUAUUUUGGGGCCUUGUGUGUUCUUGUUUAUGUUCUGUCUGGUUGCUGGGAAAUCCUAGGAGAAGAAAUGAAUUCUUUAUGGAGGUUUUGUGGUUGAAUUGGCUGUUGUAGGAUUGUAAGGAUUAUUAUUAUUUUUUUUUAAUUUUCUUUUUUUUCUUUGGACAAUUUCUCGGCAUCUAAACGAAGAAUUUCAUUGUAGAGAAUUUUGGAAUUGUAUUAUUGGGAAAAUUUGGAGUGUUUUUUUAGCUUGAUUUUUUUUUUGGAGCUAUGAUGUUCUUGUUUUGAUGCUUGACUUGGUUUCAUCAUGCUAAUGGGGAUGUUCAGUUGAGGUAUUCCGACUGCUUUGAUGGCCUUAACGUCCAUCUUAGGAAAAUUCAACCAGCUAAUUAGUUUUUUUCCCCUCUCUAAUCGCGUGAACCUUGGUAUCUUUUGGUGUUUUUUUUGGGGGGGUUGAGAUUUGGAGUAGUUUUGGAUCUGAGUUGAUUUUGAUGCAGAUGAUUGGGUGCUGAGUUUAUGGGCUUCUUCUCAUCUCUUUUUCUUUCAUGAAGUAUUAAUGGAUUUGCCGUGGGCAGGGGUUUUUAGGUGCUAUUUACUUUUGAUGUUGGCUUACUGUUUGUUUUUAUUUCAUAUUUCUGUAUCGUCUAAAGGUGAAUUAAGAUUGGCCCUGGAGAUUGCAAUAGUAUAUUGCCUUAUCCACAUGCCAUGUUGCCACUCUGUAUGUCUUUAGGGUUUUUGCUGAAAAAUCAUUGGAGGUUUGUAACUUUGUAGGUAAACAUGAUUUGAAAGAUUGUAUCAAUGUGGAGGACAUACAUUGGACCGUCUCUCAUCGCUGGCCUAGCAGAGUUGAGAAAUUCUUUUAAGGUUUGGGGUCAGGCCAUGUAUGGAUCAAUUAGAAAGACAGAAAUCAAAACAUUCUGGACCUUUUUUUUUUCUAGGUUAAUUGAUAAAACCUUAUUCUAAUAAAAUUUCUUGGUGAAUCUUAUUGUAUUAAAUGCUUCUAGUUUAGUCUUUGUUUCUUCAUAGUAAGAAUUGCUAACUUAAUUAAAUAACAAACAAAAAUUUUCUUGCUGGGUGUCAUAGGAAAAGAUUUUGAGGCUCCUAUUUUGUUUUUCAUGAUUUUGGUAUUGUUGAAAUUCUCAAGUUUGAAGCUUGCAAUGACAUGUCAUUUCCUCAUUUCAUCUGGCAGGAGCAUACAAAACCUUGUCACUGGUGAAGACAUUGAAGAUAAAAUGGGCUGUUUCAAGGUUUUGAAGAGUAAGAAGAAAAAGGCUGAGCGCACUGCUUACAUUAAAAGGAUCAAUCCUCAGGAGCUAACACCCACUACACUGCCUGAACCUAAACUUCAGAGCCGCACACUUCAAUCUGCACCCCCAAGUUUUAGAACCCUAGUUAAACCUGUUCAACCAGUUAAAAGAAUCAUUAACAGUAGAACACGAGCAUUGUCCGCCCCAUCAAGCCUCAAUACAACUGAACAAGAUGCGCUUGCAUCAAAUGAAUGUGAAGAACAAGAAGAGUUGAAGAGUCGUGUUGGAUUAACAAAGGAACAGCGAUCGCCAAACCCUCAGCCUCUUCCUCUCCCAUCACCUCAAGGCACUGUUGUACUGAAAGCUACAGGAAGUUUUAAAGCAGGGAAUGCGAGUGGCCCUCUCUAUGCUUCUGGCCCACUGCCAUUGCCUCCUUUAGGAGCACUCCGGAACUUUGGCUAUGAAGAAUUAUCAAACGCCUGCCUCAAUUUCUCUUCAGAUCGAUGUGUGUCGGAAGGACUUUCAUCCAUAAUUUACAAGGCUUCCUUUGGGGAUGAUGCUUCAGGUUCAAAAAAGCUGGAAGCCACUGUUACCCGGCUUCACCCAUCCACCCAGGUAUCACGACUUUCUGGUUUUUUAUUUGAAUGCAGGCCCUGGAUUGAUUAUUAUGUCAUGUCUUUAUUCCUAAACUUCCUGCAGUUCUCAAACUGUUGCAAAUUAUAUAUGAGCAUGCUAACAUGACUAAUGUAAUUGAACUUUGGUGCACCCCCUUUUAGGCAUCUCUUAGUAUACACUCUUAUUUGCUUAUCAAUAAAAAAGCAUGACUAAUGUAAUCGAGUAUAUGAGCUAUAUCUCAUUGAUGAAGCAACUUUUAUGUUUCAACAUUCUAAUGAUUUAGUUUUAGGGCAAAUGUUUAUAGAAGUUUGAAACCGAGAUAAAUUUUCACCUGCCUGUUUGUAUUUUUCAUUUUUAUCUCACUUUUCUUUCUUUAUUCCCCUCUAUAAUACAAAAUAUCGCUAACGCAAAUAGAUUGAUUUGAAGCAUAAGUCUUUUACAAUGUAUAAUAAAUUCUGCCAAUUUUGUAAUAUUUAACCAUGGCUUUAGAUUUGCUAGGAAUUUCUAUGAUUCUACUUUUUUAUUCUUUUUGAUUUUUUUUUUUCUUUUGAAAUGUUUUACAACCCUCAGUACACUGAGAUAUAACCCAUCCUGUUUGUGCUCAUCUAGGGUUUAAAGGAAUUCAUAAACGAGGUAAACACGCUUGCAUCAUUGCAACAUCCCCACCUCUGUAAGUUGCUUGGUUUCCAUGCGCGUGAGGGAUCUGACCAGAGGAUGUUGGUUUAUGAGAGGCUCUACCAUGGAAGCUUAGACCGUCUUCUAUAUGGGAGAUCGGAUGGGCCAUCCAUUGAUUGGAACACAAGAAUGAAAGUUGCUUUAUGUGCUGCACAGGGUCUCACUUUCUUGCAUGAAGAAGGGCCUUUCCAGGUAAGCUGAAAUCCUGUCUCUGUUCUUUUGAAGGAUUAAAAUUGAAAUAGAUGGUACAUGAUCCCCCACAUGGUCAACUAGUAACACUUCUCAGUUUAUGUUGCAUUUUUCUUUUUCUCUUUUUGGUAUAUUGCCCUUUCUUCGUUUGAUGGAAAUGCACAUGGGAGAUGAUAAAUUUCAAUAUGCCUUAUCAUGUUCUAUCAUUAUUUUGGCUUGAGCUUCUAUCCUUUUAGCUUGCUUGCCCAGAGUUGCAUUUUUUUUGGUAGUCAUAAUAAAAACUUUAAUUCUGUAUUUCAUGCUUGUCCAAUCCAUCAGUUCUGUAGAUUUGGUUGAAAUCCCAUCCAGUAGGUCCUACGUUGUGAAUGUUCCAGGACAGUAUGGCAAUUUUCAUGAUUGGUGUAAUAUUUAUUGAAUGUGACCUUUUGGUGGGAGAUUGCUUGAAAUGCAAAUAUUUCAAUUCCUGUUUUUCUGUUUCCCUCAGAUCACUGUCCCAAUUCUGUAUAUUAGGAUUUUUUUUUUCCAGUGGUUGUUGUUCUUGUUGUGUACUGAGAACUUCCCUGUGUGUUUACAGGCUAUGUACAAUGAAUUUUCAACUGCCAAUAUACAGAUUGACAAGGAUUUUAGUGCAAAGCUUUCGGGAUAUGGUUGCGUUGGCCACAUUCCAGAAGCAGAUGUUUGCAGUAGUUCAGUUGUAAGUGCUUUAACUCAUAUGAGGAUAAUUCUAUCAUUGUUUUGGUUUCCGACUGCGAGAUACUACUUUUCCCAUGCAUAGAGAUGGAAUAGUACAAUCAUGACAAAUAAGACACUUAUUAUUUCUGCAACUACUUCCAUCAAGUAAGACUAAAUCCUAAUACAACAAUGAAGUAUUUACUUCUCUGAAACUGUCAUAACAUGACAGCAUGGUGAUUUCUGGUCUUUUUUACACGAGUUCCUUUUGUUCUGGGUGCUUUUCUUUUCUCUGAUUUGUUUUUGAUCCUGGGGAAUUAAUUAUCUUUUGUGCCAUGUCCAUUUAUUCAGGCAGUAGCAAAUCUAUCAGUGGAGACAUUAGAGAGAGGAUUACUAACUCCCAAAAGCAAUGUUUGGAGUUUUGGAAUAGUUCUUCUUGAGCUACUCACUGGGCACAAGAACCUUGACAGCCGCCAUCCGAAGGAAGAGAGGAACUUAGUUAAGUGGAGCCGACCUUAUCUGGCCGAUGAUUGUCGACUCUCAUUGAUAAUGGAUCCUCACCUAAAAGGCCGCUUCCCUGCCAAAGCAGCCCGAACAGUGGCAGAUAUUGCCCAAAGAUGUCUUCAGAUGGACCCCUUAGAAAGACCCACCAUGAGAACCAUUGUGGAGCAUCUCAAAAUCAUUCAAGACAUGAAGUAUUCCUGCCGGUUUCCUCUGCAAGAGCCGGCAGCAGUUGCUGGAAAACAGAUGUCAAGAUCGCCUAGUCUCAAUGGGAUCAUUACCCCAGCGCCCAGGCUAAGUUUCUCCCCUUCUCCGCCAUCAAGAACCCACCUCUCCGUUUCUCCAACAAGACCGCCUGUAGUACCCGUGUCUCUUCCUCCCCGAGCCUGUUCCUCCACUCUCUCUUUGGAGGACCUUGAACGGCAGGAAAGCAGGAAAUCUUCAUCAUCAACAUCCACCUUUCGGAGGCCCAGUGUUGAAGGUUUUUGAUUGUCAAUAGUAUGCAAUUUUUUCAUUUUCAUUUUUUUUUUUGUUUUUUUCUUUCCCCUUUUGUGAUUCAACACAAUAUAUAGAAGAUAAAAAAAAUGUGGUUCUUCCACCUUUCCAUCCCUCAAGAAGAUGCAACAGAGGAGGAUGCUAUUUUGUAGAUAAAAAAGAAAAAAAAAGAAAAAAAAAGAAAAAAAAAAGUGUGAGCCUCUCUUCUUAUUGGGUUCAGUUAGUUUCCUCCUCUCCACAAUUUGAUUUUGCUUUUUCUCCUUCCCUCUGGCAAAUGUUGUUGUGAUGUCUUCAUUGAAAUGAAAAACUGAUUUGUUUGCAAUUUGGGUAGAAAAUAUUGGAAAGGUUCAGAGAAUCUGAAAUUGGUCAAAAUUUGGCUACUUGAACAAAUCAAAUUUCGGCUUGACAAUGACACCUCAUUAAUAAUAUACCAAUCCAAACUCUCUUCAUUUCUUCCAGAAAGGAAAGCUGGAGUUGCCUUUCCCAUCUAUUUUCCUCUAAAUUGAAAAGUCUUUAGAGAUAAUGUAUUGAAUGGCUCUUGAAAAAUAAUUACUAGUUGAUAUUUUCAACCAUUCUUCAAAAUUUGUCAGCAUUUAGAAAAGAUUGCACAUUAAUUUAGUUUGAAUUCAACAAAAUUUUCCUCCUUCCGCUUUCUUGGAUAUCUGGGUUUAUUCUUUAGAAUCUUUGCCAUCUUUUUCCACAAGAAAUCUUUUAAUUAAUUAAUUAAAAUCAGUCUUCCUCUGUAUUUCCGGGUCUUGAAACUAAGACCAGAUCAAGGGCAUUUCUUUUUCCUCCCCUUGACAUUAAUGUAAUUAAUUUAAAAUAUAGUGAUGCAUGUGAUAGCAUGUUAAAAAGGAUAAAAUAUUUUUUUUUCUAAAAUUAAAAAUAAUAUAAUGAAUUAAUUUACUUAUUUUUUUAGUUAAAAUGAUAUUAAAUCAGUGAGAGGUAAAUUAAUAAAUAAUAUUUUGUAUUUUUUUAUUUUUUUAUGUAAAUAUUAACAAACAUUUAUAAAAUUAUUGUAAAAAAGAUGUCUGAUUAAGUUUAAAUCUCAUAAUAUUGAAAUAAAAAUAUUUAAAAGAAUAAUAUUAAUAUUUUUUAAAGUUUUAAUUAAAUACAUCUUAUCACCAAUCUUUAAUUUGGAGUGUCCCAACUCCCAAGUGGUGAAAUCGAGAGAGAGAGAGUAUUUUUUAAGGUUUUAAUUAAAUACACCUGAUAAAUCCUUAACUUGGAGUGUCCCAACUCACAAGUGGUGAAAGUUGAUAGUCUGACAGUCCCAAGUGGUGAAAGUCGAUUACCCCAAAACAUGAUUGGCGUGCGUAGACGGUAGACGCUACACGUUACAGUCUGAGGGGAGUAGAAUCCAAUGUGGAUCCACAAGAAUGACUUUGUAGGGUUCAGUACUUGUGGGUGGCUGACAUCAAAGCAGUACUGUAGGUUUUGAACAUUGAGCCAAUUACCCAGGUAAAUAGUAAAUUAAAAACACCUUGUCAGAGUUGUAGUUGAAAAUGGAUGACUCGAAGGUUCAAUUAUGAUAUUUUCCAUUUUUAAAAUUAUUAACUCAAAUAAUCAAAUUCUAUCACAUCAUAAAGCAUUCAAAUUCAAAUUUUAUAGAUGGUCGAUCACAAAAGUCAAUGUAGUUUGAAAUUUUGUGUAUAAUUGAUGAUUAUUUAGUUACAAUACAUUUUUUUAGUUCAUAUUUAUUUUAAGACAAUUUUGAUGUAAGUAAGCAUAUUUGUUACGAUAAAACCCUUAAGGAUGUUGUCUUAGGGAUGUAAAAAAGGUGUAUCAUUUUCUUAUGGUUAGUAGAUUAUUUGAUGAUCAAGAGAUCAAGUAAUUUUUCCAUGUUGUUUAAUAUAAUUGGAUCAUUUACUUUUGCAUAGGUUCUUUUGUGCAAUUGGAAUAUUUAAUUUUACACAAGAUUAUAAUGCUCUCGCUAUAAAAUUAAUCCAAAGGGAUAAAACCAGAAAUUAGAAAUGAAGUAUUAGUUUAAAUCACCCCUCCCUUUAGGUAGUUUUAUCCUAUUAAUUCUUUCAAUCUCAAAGUAGCUUCAAAUUCACCAUAAAAUCAUAUCACAUAGCAACAGAAGACCUUUUUUGAGCAUAUGACCCCAUCACUUCUGUCGAAAAGGAUCCUGUAAGGGACCUUUGAACUAAACCAAGGCAGGGUGCUAUUUUCUAGGAUAAGUCAAGCUGAUAGGGGAAAUGGAUACUUCAAAUGGAGCAUAGAAAGAAAGAGGCAAUAAACGGAUACUGAAUUAGAAAAGAGAAUAAACUGUUGACCUAAACAUUAUGAAAAGCAAAUCCAAUUUCUUUGUUACAAAUGAUGAUUUCUGGCAUGUUAAGAGUCUAAAAUCCAUGCAUACAUCCUCUUUUAAGAAGAAAUAAUUUUCUAUGACGCAUAUUAUAUGACAAAUAAAAACCUCAAGCACCCUCUCCAACCAUUGGUACAAGCAAUACCAGGCCACAAGAGAAAAACGGAGAGAUAAGUAUGUAAUUUAUAGAGAAAGGAGUUGUUCUUACCAGGAGAGUGAAAAAGGUGGAAAGGGAAGAGGAGCUCACGAAUUAAGCAUCAUUUUUGCUUUGAUCUUGUCCAGAGUGCUCCUCAUCUCCCCCAUUCUCUCGCUCUGAAACUGCAGGAGCAGUAAUACAAUGAUCCUCAUUUAGUGGUCCUUCACUCUCUCCAGUAGCUUGUGGUGGUGGCACAUGUGAUCCUGAGCUGCCUUGUUGCUCGGCCAAGCUUUUGAGACCAUUCUGCUUCAGAUAUGUUUCCAAAGGAAGACUUGCCACUUGUAGAAGACUCAUCAUGCUCACUCGGUUUGAUCCCACUUGCAAGUCCUCCUCACGGUCAGGAUGGCAAUUCAAGUCUAUUUUUCCCUUGCCAGUUUCACUCAACUUGGUGGACAGAUUGUUGCUUUGGCUCCUAGAUUCUGACUCGUUUGCCAACCCAGCUUCACUCUCCGAAGGGUCAGGAUUUGGAGUGGCAAGUCUUGAGGUGCUGUCCACUUCUGCUUCAUCCUUAGCGCCCCAGAUAUUGUGAUUUAUCUGGGCAAUCUCUGCUUCACGCUCUGAUUGGCGCUUUUUUUUCCGCAUCAUUAGUGUUUUAAAACGACGUUUAACUGUCAUACAUACAUUGCAUGUGCAGGUGGGCUUGUGCUUGCCCUUCCCACUGGGGGGCUGGAUACACACAAUGCAUGAGCAGCCUGGGCGAUGCCUCGGGUGUUUGGUUGUGGUUGCAACUGAUGUAGCGGCUGGGUCGCUCAUGUCAUCUCCAAGGGCUGCAGCAUUGGCCAGAGCAUCUAGGCCGGAAGGUUCAUGCUCCUGUGCAGGCCUAUGAACUGCUGCAAUUCGACGUUUUCUGAAAUCUAUUAACCAGGAACAGAAGAAGUGUCACAAAUAUUUUUGGAUUCAAAGUAGACAAUACUCCACAGAGAGAGAAACGGACAUCAUUUCAUAAUAUGAAACACGUGUACACAUGCAUACACAAUGACUUCCCUAUUCCAACCCUGACACUAGUUGCCCAGACGUGUGCUUUCAUUCCAAAAUCAUGGUUUUAAAUUUUCAAAGAUUGAAAUUUAUUCAGUAAGUCCAAGUUUAAAACUCCAACCCCAAUGGGGAAAUACAUUAAUAAAAGAACAGUAGUGUGCAAACGUGACCCUUGGAAGGGUGUAUGUAUUAGUAGGCUUUUCAAGGAGACUACAAACCCCACUGUAUGGCAGCUUCAAGACAAAACCUGAUUGGGACAAACAUCUCCCCCGUUGGGUGUUCAAUGUAUCUGAUGUAAUGUCAUGCACCCAUUAAUAAAGGUGCUAUUAUUCAUUAAAAUUUUAACUACCAGUUGCAACUCUUCAAGACCAUACUGGGUUCUGUGGCCAAUAGCAUUAUAUCAGUAAUGUCUCCACAAUCCUCCCUGGCCACCCCCACCGACAAAUUUAUGAAAUACCCUCAUGCAAAAUACAAAUAUUAUAUAUAAAAGGAAACCAUUUCUCAAAGAAUGUUUCAGGCUGCAGCAAUUAUUUAUUUAGAUAAAAUACAAGUACAGAUGCUGGCAUCAUACCCUUAUAUUGUCUGAGAAUAUGUUCGAGUUCCCUAGGGCUCAACUCAUCUGGGGCAGAACAUGAACACCUGGAUUACAAUAACAGAAGGUCAAGGAUUUAAAGUUUCUCUAGUGGAAAAACACUUGCAUGGAAACACUUAUAACUGACCUGCUUUGAUCCCACAAAUUUUCAGCACACGUCCACUGACAUGGAACAAGAUAAUCAUGGGGCACCUUUCGCCAUUUAGAGCAACUAUCACACUGAACCCAUUGCUCCUCUCCCCUGGAUGAUCAAGCUUAGCAAAUUAGAUGGAUUCACCUAACAGAAGUCUCAAGACAGAAAUCUAGGUAUCAAAAUAGCAGACACAGAAUUUCUCAGGAUAAAAAGUGACUCCUCUUCCAUGUGAGGUACACGUGGCACCAUAAUAAAUGGGCACUAAUUGGUGCCAAAUUGUGUCUUGAUCCAGGGUUCAGACAACUGGAUAAAUUUUUUACUUAAGAACCUGGUAUUAUGUAUCAGUAGAUCCCUAUCACUGGAUGAAUGCUGCAUAAAAACAUAAGAUCAUGACAAGUUUGACACAUUUUACUUAGGAAAACAAAUUUUUGGAACUGCAUCAUUAGAAUUGGAGAUCCUUGGCAUCCAAGGAGGAAGGAGAACUUGGUGGUAGGGAUGGAGGUAGUAUUGCUGAAGGACCUUGGAAGAGUUCAUUUUCGGAGGCAGAAGUAAAACUUGUACAAAUUAAUCAAGACACUCUUUCUCCUAGAUGGGAAGUUAAAUCUAGUGAUCUCACAAGUACUGAUUUCAUAUUUUUUCUUCUUUUGAUUUCUUAGGCUUGGGGCCACCCAGUAAUUGUCACUAGACAAAACAUGGGAAAUGGAAGCAGAAAGGGCAAUUCAAAAAGAAAGAAAACAUGACAUUAGGAAAAUAAAGCAUUAAAGAAGUUUGUAAAUGAAAAAUAAAGGUGCUGAGAGUAGGUAACACUCAUGAAACCUAUUUUCCAGAUGUUUUAGCAACAUUUCCCAUGGGAAACAAAGGUUGAACAUUUUCAAAGAUGGAAAGCACUUAUGAGAAAUAAGUUACCUUAAAAUUUUUUAAACAAGUUUCCCACCAGCUUUAGAAAUGGGUUUCUGGGAAACUGAGUAGAGUUUCCAUCAUGGGGAAAGUAUUUGUAAUUAUGAUCCAGAUAGCUUCACUUUGCAUGUGGGGUUCAGUCAUUGGUGUUCAAAAAUGCUACUUCACAUGCAAAAAUGUAUUAGAAUAAGUUACCAGAAAUCCUUACCCAGAUGGGAGGGUUGUGAAAAUACUCCUCUUUCCAAAAACAGGGGGUUCCUGUAUGACAAAUAAAUAACAUGAUAAGUAAUUAUUAGUAACCUAUAUAUAUAUGUAUGUAUGAAAAAGAAACAGCAAUCACAUAGCUUGUAUGAACAAACAAGGUAGUAUUUAUGUUUAAGACUGAAACAAGGAGCCUCAGCAAAUAAUUUGUACUUUUUUCUUUUUAUUUUUGGCAAACUGCCGUUGUCAAAAUAAAGUCUGUAAGUGGCAUUUGGAUGCUUUACGAGUGUGAGCUAGCAGCAAGACAAUUUAUAAAAGCUAAUUGCAUUACUAUUUUGAGAAUUGUGGAAAGUUUGCUUACAGUGUAUGCCUCAAAUUCGUAGUCCUCAAUCACGUCAAUGACUGGCUUGACACUUGGGGGUGGGCGGAGCAAAGACUGUGCCUCUUCCCAUGUAAGCCUCAGCUCCAGAGCAUCUUGGCCAUCGAUUAGCAAUCUCUUACUUUUAGACCCAAUUGUUCGAGUUCUCUUCUUCUCUGGUACCAGCAUUGAUGGAAGCAGCAAGCCCUCUCUUGUCUUGCCUCCAUGCUUCUCUGUUUUAUGCCAGCCAAUAUCCCCACUAGCUGAAUUCAAAUGUUUUGACAAUGCAUUUAGAUGGGGAUCUGUGCUUCCCUUCAGCGACUGAAGAAUGCCAGAGUAACCACUUAUUAUAGGUUGGUUCUCAAUAACACCCGAAAAGAAAGUUUCACUUGAAUGAGCGCCAUUAGGAAUGGCAGAUAGUUGGGUGUCCUGUUUAGUUAAUAAUUUAUAUAUUAAUAUUAUAUGAUCCAGGUUUGCUAACAUGAAAACUCACUUUGUUUUCCAAGUGUGUGGAUGCAAAUAUAAGAGUUAGUUACAUCAAUGAAGUUGACUACCUGCAUGGAAACGGAGUUAGAUGCUUUCCGGAACCCCAUAACAAGUUUUCCUUCUGGAUCCAUACGGCUGAAUGUUACUGCAGCAAAAAUAUUAAAUGGAUAAAAAUGGAAUACCAAAUGUAUCUUAGCUUCUGGAAAAGAAAAAAGGAAACAGAAAAGGAAGAAAGAAAAACGAAGGGGGAAAAAGGAAAAACCACACCAUAUAUAGGAAGUGACAAAGACAGAAGAUCAUCAGGCAUAAGACAGUCAUUGAUAAUGUUAGAGCAAGUAAUUUGAUAACAUUCUCUAAAAAAUUAUCAAAUAGAAAUUUCUGUCAGAGAAUGGAAUGACAGGAUGUGACAGCAUAAUCAUUAUUGUGAGAAUCCUAAUUAAAGUCUCAUAGUUAGGACCCAAAACACAACAAAACAAAAAAAUUAAUAAGGUCUUGUUUGAAAUGGUUUCUUCAAAGCUAAAAGCUCUUUUUUAAGCUCAAUAGAGCUUCUCUAGAUGUGUUUGGAUAAUUUUAAUAAAACUUCAAAAAGCUAAUUGCCUUAAAAGAAAAAAUGAAAAAAAAAGUUCAACAGGAAAGUUAGGACAAUAUUGUUUACUGUGGAAGCCCUCUUUUUGGCUUAUUGCAGGAAAUUGUUUCAUGUUUAAUGAAACUUUUGUAGUACCAAGAUUGUCCCUCUAAAAUUAUAGACUUAGCUUCAACUUCUACCAAAAGCCAAAACGAUAUCCCAAACAAGGCCUAAGAGAAGAGUAAAGAUUAAUACAAACUAAAAUAUGCUUAGAAAUUUAGUGCCUCUGGCAUUCUUCAAGUAGAGAAAAUAGCUGAGACAUGUUUAUAUCAUGACAGUUGAAAAUUUUUCCUCUUGUAUAGCAAUACAAAUCAAAAGAAUGACGAAUGACUUCACAACCAUUAGUUUUUGUUGAUUAUUAAAUAUGCUAAAAUUGUUGUGGCAUGCCUACAUAAAAUACGAAGCAGGCAAUAGAAGUUACCAGUAUCUCCAGCUUGUAACUGCAUUGACUGUAUGCAUGGGGUCACACCCUCUAAAACAUACAUCCUGCUGUUAUUAUUGGGCCAAAACCUGAAUUGGAACACCCAUUCUUUCCCCUUCACAUCCUGAAUCCUUAAAGGAAGGCCCUCUGGUUGAGAGAUAGGAGGAAAAUAUGCCUGCAAAAUGGUUUAGUUUCAAUUGAUAUACAGAUAAGGUUCAACAAAAAUAAGCUUAACAGUUAAAUUUGGGAAGAACGAAAAAAAAUGAAAAAUGCAAAAGACAACCAAUAAAUAUUAUUUUGUCAAAUGAAAGCCAGACUAAGCACACAAUGGAAAGCUUACUUCAGCACAUGCUUUUGGGAGCACUAAACGACCAAUACGACCAGCAUCACUGGCACUUAGCAUCUUUUCAAAUAAUGGUACGAUGGUGGAAUUUGAGCUUCAAGAAAGCAUGAUUAAAGAAAUCGCUGAUCGAGUUGGUGAAUAAGCAUGAAAAUUAAAAAAAAAUUAACAGCGAAGCAAUCUAUGAACUUCAAAAUAAAAAUGACAUAGUCAAGGAUACUCUCCAGAUAUUUGCUGCAAUUCCUGGUCUGUGAUCCUCGGCCAAUAACGAGGAAGCAACUGAUUCCGACCCCGUCCCUCUGCAGGUGGCCUUGCAACACGUAUUUGUGGAACUAUACCUGUAUUUGUUUCCAAAACAGGAGAAAGUGCUGACCUUGGGGGCUUGGGCAAAAGAUGGCGAGACCUAGGCCCCUGUUGGAUGGGAGUGGAUGUUUUGUGUUGUUCCCUUUCUUCAACGACUGCACUAGGAAACACAUUUGGAUUUCCUGAAGGAGCACCCAAGGUGAUACUCAAAUUUGUCUGAACCAGAGACUCAUGUAUAUCUUUGACCAUCAUGUUUGCUUUACAAAUAUCUAGUUUGGCAUGUAUGGAAGAUCCGAUGGAUGCUUGAUUUAAAUUUGACAAACAUGUACUACCAGUUUCUCCCUGAGGUGGCAAAACUUCCUCCUGUUUCAUUUGGCCAAGAGACCCAUUUAUGUUGUCAUUUCCAGAUUGAAGAAAGUUUUUCAGUCCAUCACCCGAUGUAUCAUUCCCCAACUGUGUAAGCUUCAUCUUCUCAACACUACCACCAUCUAAUUGAUUGUCCACAGAAGUGCAACGAAUUUCACCCACAUUAUCCACUGUCAUUGCACCACUUUCAUUAGCCUUUUCAUCACCUGUCAUCUGUAUGACAAUUUAGAAGUAUCAUAAAUCCCUGAAGGUUGAAAGGAAGUGAUUAAAUUGUAAUAUUCAAUCACUUUCAAGUGAUUAAAAAAAUCUGAUGUAUGCUGCAAAGAACAAACUGAAAUGCACACCUUAUCAAAUACCAUCAUAAACAUCAGAUAAGAAAGUUGUCUGAAAUUAGAGGUAAAUUCUUACUCUUUUCUUACUAAUCCUUUUGUCACCUUCAUUAAUUGAAAGAUACAUAAAUCUACAACACCAGAUCAUCUUAAACCAUAAUUGGAAAUUGGAACUUGUUAAUAAACCAUUUGUUAUUUGUUUCAUUAAUUGGGAAGUGUUUAUAUAGUUGAACGAAACAGAUGAUAAAGAAUCAUACAAACUAAUCAACGAAUUGAUUUUGGCAGUUUGUAACUGAUAUGAUAGUAGGAUGGAACUACAGAAUUAUUAAAUGCAUCCAACCAAAAAUUAUAAAGGAGUAUGUUUGUGUAACUUUUCCAAAAGAAGUCAUAGACAUGUAAAUGAGUUGAUCUUACAGGGUGAGGUCCUGAACUUCUUAUGCAGUUAAUACAAUUUACGCCACCACUAUCAAGUAGCUCAAGCAGAGACCUGGAAGCAAUGCAUCCACAAUGGAGACGCUGGAAACACCAAUUGAAUCAUACUUUUCAACAAUAGCAUGAGUUGAAGAAAAAAAGUGAUGUGAGUUGGGAAGAAGGAACAAGAUACGAGUUACUGGACUACCAACUGACCUUGCCACAUGCAGUACAUUUCCUCCAACCAGAGUCCUUUGAGUGAAACAUGUCACAGAAAACUAGUUGCUCAAAAGCAGACCUGGAGAGAAUUCAGUUGCAAAUAGAAAGUAUCAUCUAAUAAGUCAUAUGGAGAAACCUAAUGUUUUCUUUUCCCAAUAAAUAUAGAUAAAAAAUUGCAGCUCAUCAUGUAAAAUUGUCAUAAAAUGGUGACUAUUAAGUCCCAGCAGUCAGGUUCCAGUCACAUACCUAGUUUCUCAAAAACAAUAAAUGCCAAAUAUUAUUAUUCAUAGGGCAAAAAGAUAAUUGUAAAUAAAAUUGUGUAGUAUUUCUAAAAAACAAGGGAAAGAAAACCAACCAUUAAAGGUCAAGUUCAAGCCAUAAAUUGCUAUGCACUCUAGGCAUCUCCAUGUUUCCACCUUCUAAGGUUCUCAGCAUUUAGAUAGUCGUAUCUAGGCCAAACAAGCUGGUGGAUCAAAAGUUCCUAGUCAUUUAGAAGAAAUUGUUGUCUUCAUGGGUGUCAGCCCAUCAUCAUUAGUGAGGUUUCACCGUUUAACCAGAAAUUGUUAAAUCAUCCAAAUCCAGACAUAAUUAGGAUGAUCCAGUACCAAAAUUUUUUCAGCCUCUUACAAAUCUCAAUGCAUCUUUAAAACAUAUUUAGGAUGUAGGAUGGACCAGAAACAAAUUGCAUGUGGAUACUCAAACCAAAUGAUAAAAUAUCCUUAUUUUUAUUUGCAUGUAAUAUGGAACACAUAAUAUGAUAAAAUUAAAUUUAAAAAUUUUACAUAGGGAGAAAUUAGAUUCAAAAUUUUGCUUCAUCACUGUAUGAGGGUAAAUUGUUCUGUCAUUCACAGAUUGCAAUGACUUGAUUAGUUUACUUACGGACAAGACAAAGAUGAUGAGAUGUGAAAGGCAAUGCAGAUAGCAAGUCAAAUCACAUGCCCUUAAUUUCUUACAAAUAGAAUCCUGCCAAUAGUCAUUUAAAAGCAAACAAUAGGAAGACAAAUAUUUAUUCAACCAAAUAUGGCAUGUAUUUCAAAAAGAAUAAUAAGCUCUUAAAUAAUUUGUAUUUAAUUUUAUCGGGAUAGAUUAAACUAAGGUAACUUAUCAAAUAUAUUUAUCCCCACAAAAGAUACAUCAAGGGAUAAUCAUUAAUGAAGAUGUUUAUCAAGAAACUCUAUUAUCAACCUCUAUUGAUAGCCUAAGCUCAAAAGUGUCAUCAGCACAACUUGGAAGAGAGAUAAUUGAAGCUUCAUCCCUGAAGAACUUUCUUCAAUCCAAUGGACUAACAAUCCCAAAGCUCUACAAGAUUUUGUCACUCAAACCUAUGCUCAUCAUUUACGCCCACAAACUACAAGCCAAUGAGCAUAGUAAAGCUCUUUUAAAUUAUAGAUAUAAAGCUAUACAAACAUCAUUCCUUCAGCAUUUAAGAUCUCAAAGGCUACAUUCAUGGUGAAGCUUUAUUCUUCUCUUAUAUGCUGUAAGCCUCUGCAACUGUGUCAACACAUCCCAACCUUCUGCAGCUGAAUUCACUUUGUCUGGGAACCAGCUCUUCGAGUCUUUGACUGAAGCAACUUUGAGAAAAAGAAUCAGAGGAUAUUUUCUUUAUUGAAGAAUUUUCAGAGUUUGCAUUUCAAUUUUCUUAAACUAAUAAAUCUGAGAUGGUCAACACUUUUCUCAUUUUUUUUUCAGGUUUAAGAUUUGUGUUCACAAAUUUCUAGAAAACCCAGCUAAAUAAUCUCCACCUAAUUCCUAUUUUCAAGUGAAUAAGUUGUGAUCAUGUGACUAGCAACAACAGCAAAUGAAAUAUUAACAUGCACACUUAAUGUGACAUUAGGGUAAAGGACGUGCACCAAUUUUCUUUAAAAAUAGCUACUUUAAAAUUUGUCUUGGGCUUGUGAAUUUAAAAAACACCUGGACAAUUAUCCUUGGUGGAGGUGAAGAAUAGUACCAUUGUUGUGGCAAAGAAGCUAUUGGCUCACUUGCUAAAUCACAAAAUUCAAGUUUGGGUUCUACACUAAGUCAGCAUGGGACAUGGAUUACACCAAUUAUCAAGUCUACAAAUUAUAUUUUUCAUGCCACUCAUGGUGAUUGAAGCAACUUUAAGUGGUUUAAGGCUUUAAGCAAUGAAACAAAUUGGAAGAAUAGUCGAUGCUAUCAAAGAGCAUUCACAACAUAAUCAAGAGCAAGAUGCUCACAGAAAUAAAACUUCAACACAAGCUUGGUUGAUGAUAGCAUGUUGCUAAGAUCCUUCUUGAUUCACACCAUAAGAUACUUCAAAAACCUUCUUUAAAAGAAAAGGUAUUGCUACAAAUCAGCUAAAACAUUUUAUCCUAGAAAAUUUUGUUGCAAAUCAGCUGAAGGAUUUUACCUUGGAGAAAACUCCUAAAACAUGUGACAAUGAAUCUCAAUCCCCUCUCCCACAAACCAAAGUUUUAAAAGAUGCAAGGCACACUUAUGACAUAAAGGCAACCCAACACACAUGUCUAAGUGAAAAUCGGGUGCACUCCAAGUCUAUGUGUAAUUUUAUAUCAUGUAACAAAUAUUAACGCGCAAACAUUUAUAAUAUUUUCAUAUAUCAUUAAAUAGUACUAAAAAUUUCAAUUCAAGCAAUUAAAGACAUCAAAAUUUCACACAUUUUACAUAAAAUCCAACAAAAAUAAUGCUAAAAAAAUCAGUUAUCAUUUAUUUGUGUACUAUACAUAAAAUCACAAAAUAAAUAAAUAAAUAGAUAAAAAUAAUUCAAUUAGUACUAAAAAAAGCAAAUAAAUUUGUGAACUACAUAUAUAUACUGAGCGCCGCAUCAAUGGAUAAUCGUCCUUUAUUAAGAAAUAAUUAUCACUUAUAAGUAGAUAACUGACAAACAAAAACCAUAAAGCUAUUAUAGUUAAUGAUUCGCAAAAUGGCUAAUAAAUCAAAGAAAAUAAAAAUGCCUAAAAUAUUGGGAUCAUAGGAGUUGUGCGUGUUAUGGACAACCUACACAUACAUUUUUCCUUUUCUUCUUCUUCUUCUUCUUCUUCUCCUCUUUUACUCUUCUUCUUUUCAAUCUCUUUCUUGGAAUCAAGCCUUCAAAUCUUCUUUUUUCAAAUGGUAGGGUGAAAAGGUAUUGUUUUGUCUGUUGUUUUAAAAAUACUUAGGCUCAAAAUGACCUUUUUUUUUUCUUUUCUUACUAUGGUAGAAAAAAAAAAUAACUGCAAUUAGGUGCACUUUUUAUUGGCCUUGUGCCUUGCUCUAAGGGUGUGCCUUUUACACCUAAGUUGUGCCUUGUUGAAUGCACCUCUCCUUGUUCUAAACGAGAUGCUAGAGGAGCCAUGUCAUGUCACCUUACCACUGAGAGCAUCUUCGAAAACCAUGCCAUACACACCAAGAAGAGUUGAUAAGGACACCAAUCAGCUACCAAUCAUUAAAAUUUCAACAUUUUGAUAGGACAAGGAAAUCCAAGGCAACACAAGGGUCAAUUUAUGGGGACAUGCAACAAUCUCAAUCUUUUUCCGUUUUUUUUUUUUUUUAAGGCAAAUUUUUGUCCCCAUAAGGGACUUGAACCUGGAACUUGUGUUUAACUCUUCAUUCAUGUACAAGAUCCCUAAUAAUUCAUUGAAACUAGCUUCACUCACAUAACCAUCAUUUUACAUAUGAAGCGGUAAACCCUAUAGCAAAUCCUAAGAGAUCACCCAUUUUAUUUUUUAUUUUUUAUUUAUAAUGAGGAAUGCACCCUGCCAAUAAGGCAUUUAUCCCAACUGUUGAUAAAGCAAACCCUGGAUAACAUAGGUCCACUUCUUUAUCCUACACACUUAAAUUGAAGGAAAGCAUGAAGCAAACCUAGAUGAAAUGGGUCUAACUCCCCUACACCACUUAAAUACAAGGGAGGCUUAAACUAGAUUAAGAAAGAUCAGCCCAUUUUAGAUUUGUUCUCAUAGGUGAUAGAUUAUGAAGUAGUUAUUAAAUUUAAUUUAUUGCUUUUUAAAGUAAUAAUACAUGUAUGGCAUGCCCUAAAAUGAGACUACCUCAAAUAAAUUCCAAAUAAUGUGUGAAUAAAUUAUAAUAAUAUUACACAAAAACUAUCAGCAAAUAUUAAGAAAAAUAUCAUUGUCUUCAAGACCCUAGUUUUUGCGUUUUUCUUUUGUAGGUAAAUUAUAUACAAAUACAAAUAUAGUAGGAAAAUCAUUUAAUAAACAAGGUUGUAAUAGUAUAUAAAAUGUAUGCAAGGCGCACCAAGGCCAAAAGAAAAGAAAAUAUAAAAGGAAAUUGACCCACCUAAGACAACCCCAGAUUACCAAUUAAGUUCAAAAAGGAAAAAUUAGCAUCUUCCACUCAACAUUGGGCUGACUAAAAGAGACACUUAACAAAUCAGUUUAUUGCAACGAAGUCCAGAUGUUCUACUUUUUCAAAUAUUAUAUUUUUACAUAACUCAUAAUUAUUUUUUUUAAAUCUAGGUUUUGCAACCAAGUUCAACACGUUUUCCAACAACAUUAAGUUCCCAGUGAUGUUUCCAUACUAUUUAAGUUUUCAUAGUCCACAAUAAGCAUCUAAAACAUAAUUUAGUUCAAAUGGAAAUUUAACUUUAUUACAAAACAAAAUUCAAUUGAGAACAUUAACGUUUAGGUUUAUUCUAGGUGAAAGGCCUAGCCAUGCCCAUUGACAGCUAGGGUCAGGGGCCGAUUAGGCUCAAAAAGUAGUCUCAAGCCCAAUCAGAAACUGUAUGGGCCGAGCCUGAACUCAAGAUAAAUGCCUAUGAUCCAUUGGGCAAGCCUAAAUGAGUCCACAAUUGCCUUAACAACAAAAAUAUUGUCAUGACUGUUAGUGAUUGCCAGUCAUGGCUAAAUUUUAACUACCAUGGGCAACUACUGUUCAGAAAAGGCACUGUUAUCUUCAAUCUUAAUAUAAAUUAAGCAUAUGAUGACAUUAAAAAGGUCAUUUUAUCCUGAGCAUCAUACUGCAACUUUCUUUUCCAUUUCUCUCUUCGAAUCACUAACUUGACCAUUGGAGAAGGUGUUCUAUAACCAUCCCGAACAUUUUUUGUUUGCAUGUUGUUGGAUUCAGGCUGCUCACUCCAUUGAGGUUAAUCUACAUGAAAGUUGUUGAUGUUAGCUGAUUGUGGAAAUUGACAGCUUGACUGAUUGUGAUUGACUAAAAUAUAAAACUUAUACAAGCUGUAAAUUAAGGUUAUAAAUCAGUGAUAAAAUUAGGAUUAUAAAUUAAGGAUUCCUAGCUUGUUUGUAUAGUUGACUAAUAGUGACUACAUUCAAUGUAUUCUUGGAUUAUUUUCCUUUAUUGUUUUACCUGUAACCUUAUAUAUAUUAAUUGUAAAUUCCUCCAUUAAUACAAGAAUGCAAUUCCAUGAUUGUUUACAUGGUAUCCAGCAAAGUACUAUUAAAAUUGCUUCUCGUUUCUUUGGCCUAUAUUGGUGAAGCCAAGUGCAUUCUUCUUUGCUACAGCUUUAACAUUUCGUGGCCUUCAUUGCUGAAAUCGACAUAGAGAAAUACAAUCUUCAUUGUUGGUUCUCCCACAUUCUCUCUGCUUUUAUUCUCUUUCUCAAUAUGUCUGAAAUAUCUAGUAAUGUCCAAAUCUCUUCCUCCAUAAAAAAUUUCGAUCAAGUUGUAAUCCACUCUUCCUCUAGUGAAUACCAAAAUCUCCAAGCGUCAUUUAGGCUUAAUAGCCGGAGUUAUCUGGUUUGGUCUCCACAUGUGAAGGCAUCCCUUGAACGAAAGGGGAACCAAACAAUUUAGUUAGAUCGGUACCAAGCUCAAAAGACCCACAGUUUGUACCGACAAAACCCACCCCAUUGCCAUCCCUCUCUAUGGUGAUCUAUUGAUUUAUCAUCUAUUGUUAGAUAUAAAGAGUAGAUCAUUAAUUUUGCAAACUUAUCUAUUAAUCUAUUUAUUGAACAUAAGAAUAAGGAUGCAACAUAAAAUGGUUCCUUGUGGUGCAGGAAUAAAUAAUCCCAAAAUGUUGAAAGUGUUGCCAAAAUUCAAGAGUAAGGUUUCUUUUUUAUCACCUUAUUUUCCCUAUUGUCAAGUUCGUUUAGAAGCAACGGAAAUCAUUUGUCCCAUAUUGAUUCACAAACAAAUGCUUUGAGAUUAUUUGUUAAGGAUCAAUGAUGAAUUUUUAUACGAUGUAAGUAGUAUCAUGCAAACACUACACUGAAAUAAGAACAACAAAAAUUUAAGGUGACCUACUUAAGAACAAUUUAACCUUUUUGAGGGUUUUCUUUUUUUUCUUUUCUUGCAAACAAGAAGUACAACUGAAAUUUCCUUUCUUGCAAACAAGAAGCAUACAACUGAAAUCCCAAUAUAUAACUAAAACACCAUAGGGUAAGGAUGGGCAUUGUUCUCUUGAACAAAAAGCACAAGCAAUCCUCCAAGAAAGAAAAUCCUCUAGGAUCAUAGUAAAUAAAUCUGUGUUAACAAUGCUUCCUAGACGUUUAUUGGAAAAUAAACAUCCACAAGUACCAAAUACAACUGAAAUCCCAAUAUACAACUAAAACACCAUCGAACAAGGACUACUAUAACACCAAAAAAUAAAAUAAAUAAAAUAACGGAAGAAAGCUCAUGGAGGUAAAAACUCCUAAAAAAACACCUUGAAAAGAGAAGCACUACACUUUGCUGACCAGUCUGUUGGUUGGCCAAGUGAAGGAUCCACCAAACUAGAUUUGGAGAUGGAAAAUUUUAGGUAAUUAGUCAUCUCACUUUUGAGGGUCUCAUAAGACACCAAGAAGAUAACUAAACCAAGUCACCUCCCACUAGGAAGUGAUUAAAACCUAUAGGAAAAGCUAAGGUGAAAUCUUUAAGUAAUGCCAACUCCAUAGCCAAUCUCUCCUCAAUGGGCUUAGAAAAAGAUUUACCCACCUCUCCUUAAUGAUCCUGGAAGACUCUGCCAAUACCCAUUUACCUUGGGUUUCCCAAAAUGACUCUAAGGGUUCUUUUAUUUGCCUUUUACAUCACUUUUCAAUCUAACAACAAGUUCAAUCAAGACCAAGGGAAGGCAAUAGAAAUUUGAGGCAACUAACUUGGGGAUAAGUCAAUCAAUUUCUUUUCUCACUUUUUCAAUGUGCAACACUAACCAAGAGAAAGGUGAUGUCACUAGAAAUUUGAAGUUACCAACUUGGAAAUAAAUUAACCAACAGAGGUGUGGCUGAUAGGAAUUUGAGGCAAUCAAUUUGCAUAUUCUUAUGAAGUUUUAUUUCUUUUGCUCUUACACUACUCUAUUUCUUUCCUAUUUCUUUGCCACGUCAAAAUAUAUGAAUUUCAUCUCCUCUUAGACCAAUCUUAAAAAGAGUAUAGGAACCUUUACUUAUUAAUUGACUCCUUUCCAUUGUAUACCUUCUGCCACGUCUAAAUACCCUCUUCUCUUACAAAAAAGGUCAACUGAGACCAUGGCAAGGCUACAAGAAACUUAAAGGAGACUAAGUUGGAAACAUUUUUUGUUCCUUCAAAAUAUUUGUCACUUCCCUCUUUUGUUACCUCUAAUGUCCUCUUCUGUGAAAUUGAUCCAGAAUCAAGUUAACCAAAGCCGAGCAAGGCUUAUAGAAACUUGAGGAUUUGAAUCCAGGAAUGAGUUGAUCAAGACUGAGGCUAAGCUAAUAGAAAUUUUGUGGUUACUGAGGCCAGAAAAUUCCUAAGAACGAACAUUUCUUAUUCCUAUGCUGCAUCAGAACGCCUCUACUUCACUCUAUUCCUUUGCUGCUUAUUUCCUUUUCCACUAUGACUCAGAAUAUAGAAUAUCCCCCUCUUCUUUCAAUUUCUUUUCAUCCUUUUCUUUUCUCUGUUUUUUGCGGCUUCCCUCCUCUUCUGCUACUUCAGAAUAUUCUUUUAUCCAUUCUGUUUGGUUGCUGCAUUUCUUUUUAGCUACAUAGGGAAUAUCUUCUUCGUCUUCUCUGCUCAAUUUCUUUGUUGCUUAUUUUUUCUCUUCGGCGACUCCUUAUACACAGCCACAAAAUUAUACCAAGAAAAUCACCAAAAAUGCAACAGAAUACAGAGCAUCCUCUUCCUCUGCUAAGAAUAAAAAAAUAAAAAAUCUUCCCCUUGUCUAUUUGGCGAAAUCCUUCCUCUCUGCUACUCUCCAUCUAUAAACAGCCAUAUAAUUGUACUAUCAGAAACACAUACAAUAAGAAAAUAACUUCUUCCUCUUCUUGGUUCAUUUCUUUGCUGCUUCCCUACUGUUCUUCACCAACAUUCAUUCAGAGCUAUUCUUUGGGUUGUUGUAUUGAGUGUACAUCUAAUACAGUUGGUUGUAUUAUAUCCUGGAAACAGGACAUUGUUAACGCAUGACACCAAGCCAUUGUCUCAGAGAAACAGAGUUCAGACACAUCAACUGAUAAGUCCACCUCAAUUCCAUUAUUUAAUUACUGAAGUUCAUAUUCUUUGUAGCAUCUGAGCUCUAAGUUUAUACUCCGGUCACAUGAGCUACAGAAAAAAGAAAAUAAGAAAAUAGACAGAGCACAGAACACCAUCUGUUCCCUCCUCUCUGCUAAAUUUCUUUGCUACUUAUGGUUCACCAACAUCACUAUAGCUGCUCUUCAGACCCAGAGUCAUUUCUGUAUUCUGGGAAUUGUACUGGGCCCUAUCACCUGUUAUUCUUGACCAUAUCUUAAAGAAACAGAUCACACAGCUCAAUUGAUUAGUCCAUUUAAUUUUCAUAGUUCGCUUCGGCUUAUUUUCGUGAUAUCCAAGUUAUUAGUUCUUCACUACACUAAAAAGAUACCCAAUAUGCCAUUAAUUGCAAUCAACAAACAUGCUAAGAAAAAGCAAGCUGACAAACUCAAAACAGAAAAGGAAACAAACGUAGCAAAACAAAACACCCAGUAAUUAAACCUCCAAUAAACCCAUAAAUCCCAUAAGUAGUCCACCAAAAGUCCACAUGUACUAAAUUAAAACCUCCAUUAAACCCAUAUAUCCAGUACACAGUCCAUAAGUAUUUAGUGCAUUAAAUUAGCAAAUAACAACAAGGAAGAAGAGAUCCAUCUGGAUUACCCGCACUUAUCGCAGAGAAUGGCGAAAUCACCAGAUCGCAAAGCCCAACCUUUUCUCCACUCGAUCGUCGACCCCGACGACGCCCCGGGGCACGACACGUUCGCGCAAGUUUUCGAUGCCAUUCAUAAACUCAAUAACGCCUGCAAAACUCACAAAAACAAAAUCCAAUCAAACAAACAAAAACCCUAACUCACCAACCCGGCUCCCCGAAUUCAAUCAACACCACAACCGAACGACAAAAUUGAUCAACCCAGACAAAACAACACGAACACGAAAAACCGUAGAAGCGAAGCUAACCCCACAGCUAUAUCCCGAACCACUCCCUCCGUCUGUAAAUCAGAGCACGAACACGCCACUACAAACUUUCACUCCAUCUUCCGAGUCCUCGAACUCCCGAGAUUUGAUCGAAGAAUGGCGGCGGGGCAGAAAUCCUCGGAUCAGCAAGGCGUCGAACACCGCCGGCCACCGGCGAGUCCAAUCGGCGAUCGAGUUUUGGGAAGAAGCGUGUGCAUGCAAAGCCUCAGAGAGAAAUAUAAAUAUAUGGAGAAAUGGAGAGAGAAAGAGCGAUGUAGAGAGAGAAAGUGAAAGAUGCAAAAAUGCAUGCACGACACUUCAAGACUCGGCGAACUCUCCCCACUUACCCCCCACUGUUUAUCUUUUUAUUUUUCAUUUUAAAUUUUAAAACCUCUCCAAAAAAUGGAAAAUUACCCCAAAAAAAUACUCCCCACUCUCACACCUUCUCAUAUCUAAUCACUCGCGCUUUGAUUCGAGGUCUUCUGAGUUUAAUAACGAGAAUGAGUCCAACUGCCAUCCGGGGUGGCGAGUGACGUACUGGCGAGUGCGGAGAGCGUGAGGAAGAUACCCAUUUUUUCAGGUUUUGAAAUAAUUUUCGAAUUAGGGCGUCAGGACACCACCGAAAAAUGCGCCACUAGCCGGUUUUUAAUCCAAUAGCAUAUUUCGCAUGCAAUGGAGUCGGGCGUUGAAUUACGGAAAUACCCCCCGAAAUACGUGGAUUUGACGGCCGAGCCUUCGUGGAUACGGCGGUGUUGGUGUUCCAAUGGUGCAGACUGGAGAGUACGCUUACCCGGGUCCUCCACUUCAACGGUCUCAUGAGUAAACGCGUGACCGCCGUGGGUUUGUUCUUCUUUUAGGAGUCAACGCCAGGGUGCUACAUCCGACGGUGAAUAUGCUCUGUGACGUCAUUCCAUUAGGUGAUUAUGAUGCCCGGUGGGCCCCAGAACCACGGUACCUACCGCUGUGAAAGAGAAAUGCUAACGCACGCGCCGGGGGUGGACCGUUAAGCUCUGCACGAUGUUUUACCAUAAAUAAAAUAAUUAAUUUGUUGAAAAAAAAACUAUAUUAUAAAAAAAAUGUGACUUCAACGAAAUAAUUAGAUUUUGGUGAUUAACAUUUUUCCAUUUUUAUUACUGGGUCAUAAUUACAAAAUUAUAAAAUAUGUAACAUUUAAGGCAUGAUCAAAUAUUGGGUUGUAGCUUUUUCCAAUUUUGAUUAAUGGGUCAUAAUUGCACAUGCAUUCAGUAUGGUGGUAAAUUGCUGGUGUGAAUAUGUAUAUUUAUUAAUCUAACAAUUCAUAUUUAUAAAUAACUGUCAAUCUUAUACCCUAUUUGUAUUAAUCCAUAAUAUUAUCUUUUAAUAUAAUAGAAUUAUUUCACUAAAAUGAAGGGAAUAAAAAAAAUGAAACAUAUUGCAAAUAUUUUUUGAAUGACUCAUUCCCGGGCUUAAGAGUUGUAUUGUUACACCCCGAUGCUAUCUAUAUUUAUUAAUUAUUAUAUAAAACAUUUGUAUUACUCUCUUCUAUAGCAUAUUAUGAUUCACCUCCAUUUUCAUUAUAUUUUCCAUUUUCAUUAUAUUUUCAAUACUCUUCUCACGUACCAAAUUCAGCUUAUUAUUUAUUUUUUUAACUUAUUUUUCAUACUAUCUAUAUUUAUUAAUUAUUAGAUAAUACAAUUAUAUUAUAUAACAUAUUUAUUAUAAUAACCAUGUUACUAUCAUAUUUAUAGUUUUUAUAUUGGUCCACACCAUGAAUAUAUAUGUUAUACUUAAAAUAGUACACAUCAAAUCAAUAAUUUGUUGAAAAAUAAAUAAAUUAUAAACAUGUAAUAUUUGGGGAAUGAUUAAAUUUUGGUGACUAACAUUUUCCAAUUAUGAUUGUAACGACAUGUACCCAAUUGUGUAGGACUUAAAACGAAUAAUAUCCACUUAGUUUGGAACAAAUCGUUAUAAAUGAUAUUAAAGUCGAUUCUUCAUCUCGUAUAGGGGUUUAUUUGGUCUCAUAGGAAGUGUUUGUUUGUUUGGUUCCUCAAUUUCAUGAGACACAAUUAUGACAUAAUGUCUACAUUAAGGAUGUUUAUGAUAUCCUAUAUCAAAUAGAUAAGAAAGUUUUUAGUGUUAUAUAAGCAUGAACCUAUUUUAACCAUAUAUAUGCGUUUUAAAUUUAUAAGAGCCAAUUUGGACUUAGAGCAAACAAUAUUUAUACAAUUGAGAUCAAAUUAUUACAAAUUGUAUAAAGUUGACCGAUUUCAAUGUGAGGGUUUGUUUGACCCCAUAUGGGUAUUUGUCUCUUUGACCUUGAUACAACGGCGACGUUGUGUCUAUAUAAAAAGCCAUUUGUGAUAUUCCACAUCGGAUAUGAAAAAUAUUAAUAUGAAUCAUUCUUAACAUUGUAGACAUGUUUUAAGGUUACGAGGAUUUAAAGGGUCACGAAGUAGACAAUAUCUACGUAAAUAAAAGUAGGUUGGAUUGUUACAAUAAGUAUCAUAAAUACAUAUUUAUAUUUAUUUAUCUAACUAUUCAUGAAUAUUGAUAUAUUUUUGUAUCUUUUUUUUAUUAUUAUUAUUCUUUUAAAAAUGUUAUUUUUCCAUAAAUUAAUGCAUAAAAAUCCACAUGGGAUAUAAGAGUGUAAUCAUCAUCAAUUACCAUAUAUAAAACUAAUAUAUGUGUAAUAAUGAUGACUUCAUUAUUAUUUCACUAAUUUGCUUUCUUUAAGAAAAUCUUUUACAUUGGUUCAAAAAUAAAUCGAUACACAAAUUAUUUAUUAUUAUUUUUUUUAAAAAUAACACCUAUGACAAAAAUUAUUAUGAUCACGUUAUUGCCAAAUAACACGUAUGAUAUAAUAAUUGUAUUAAAAUUACACUCAAAGGGUUCAUAAUGGUUGGUAGGCUAUUUUAUGCUAGUAGUCCUAUUUUCCCACUCCACUCAUCAAUCAUCUAUCCUCCACUCAAUUCGUUUUCUCAUACUAUUCCCUGCUAUUCCUCUUUCCUAUCUUACCCCUCUUCACAAACAAUUUCGUCUUCUACUUUCUUCACACCUUCACUUAAACCCUAAUUACCUAGUCAUUCAUAUUGCUAAAAGAAAAUGUUAGUGUAUGUAAAGAAAUAUAGAACAUUACCUCCAUGAAUUUCACUGAUAUGGGCUCUGCCAAAUUUACCUACUUUUCAAUCAUUUUCUACUCUCAAAUUAAGCCCUAAUUUCAGUAGAAAACCCCAAUUCUUUACUCAUUUGAAAUACCACAUAACCAAGGGGGAAACUUAUCUUUAUCUUUCAUUCUUCUGUCUUCUCCCGAAGGCCCAGAAAGUACGAGAAAAUAAAGAGCAAGCGUGGAAAAUUUUCUCAACACAGCAGCAGAGUAGAGAAAGUUGCUCCAGGUUGUUUUCCACACAAAAUCAAUGGCAGCCUUCAACAUCUCUUCAGCUACAAUCUACCGUACAUCGUCUUCAUCUUCAUCUUCAUCAUCUUUGUCUUUGUCAUCAAAGCUGUCGGUUCUCCCAAUGCGGUGUGCUCCUCCAAGGCCUUACCGUUCUAGAUUCUCAAGUAAGGCUUUUGCUUUUUUCAAGAGAUUUUUUUUUCUUUCGGUUUUUACUGUUUUGGUUAAUUUAUGGAACAAUUUGCAGAGAUACUUGCGUUUACGAGCAAUGAUAUCAAGGUGGGUUCCAGCAUUGAGGUAGAUGGAGCUCCAUGGAAAGUUUUAGGUACUGUUCUUUGAUUUUCUCUCUGUUGCUUUUUAAUGAAAUAGUUGGGUUUUGGAGGUAAUUUGUGUGUUAUUCCAAUGCUCAUGAGGAAGAAACACGAGACACUGAAUGCUGUAAUUGAUUCAGUUUCUAACAACCACAUUGUGGGAAUUUGUAUGUGUUGUUGUAUUGAAGUUGCUGCAAUCUGAGAUAACGUAUUGGCUAAAUGGUGGCAUCUCAGUGAAAAGUUUAUUACUUUUCAAGAAAUUAUCGGGUUUUAAAUUCCCAAAAAAACAUCAAACACUGAUGUUGAAUAUCUCUUCUUCUUCUUUUUUUCCCUAGGUAAUGUGACCUAAUGGAUGUGUUGCAAUUUGCACUAUUAGAUUCUGAGUCCUGUAUGCACUGAGACCCUGUGAAAGGAAUUUGGUAGGAAAUCAUGAAUGUGCAUAUUCUUUUUGCAUGCUUGUCCGGGACUAUAUCUAUUGUGAUUAUUUAUUAAUUGUGUCACUUCCCUAUAUGCAGAGUUUCUUCAUGUGAAGCCUGGGAAAGGGGCAGCAUUUGUAAGGACCAAAAUGCGCAAUUAUGUAACGGGAAACACUGUUGACAAAACUUUUCGAGCUGGUUGUUCGGUAAUAUUUUUUUUUUUUUUUUACUAAAACUGGUUUAUUCAUUAUCUUGGUGCUAAUAUGUUGUAGGUUUUAUUUAGUUUGCAAUGAACAUGAUCUUAAAGACUGUCCUUUGGCAAUCGUAAUGUAGUUGUUGCAACAUUAGGUUUCUCUUUUUCAAUGCACCAGAAAAGACUUGAAAGAUGGAAGUGCUUUUCCUGUUUCCAUUGGAAACCUAUUAAGUCAUUAUAGUUUAGGAUUCUGUCAUAGAUUUUGCAUUUUCUUCUCCAAGUUAUUAUAAUUUGGGAUUCUAUUUUAAAUUUCCCAUUUUCUUCUCUGAGAUUUUUUUUCUUAAUUAACAUUAUAAUACUAUCUUGGCAAGGUUUAAUUUGGAUUCAUGGUGAUGUAGCUCCAAAGUGAAUGAACUAUGCAAUCUCUCAUAAUGUGAUUGUGGGUUUGACUACGUAAUUUCUCUCUAAUUUCAUUAGUUAUUCUUCCACCUCUUUCCUGAUUUUCUAUUGGCCUGUGGAUUAAGAAACUAAAUAGUUUGGGUUCUUAAUUUGAGCAACCUAAAGUUGUGUGGCUCUCCCUACAAUAGUUUAUCCAUGUUGGAUAUCGUACUUGUGCCAGGGUCUUUGUUAGAACAAUGUAAAUGUAAAGUAUUUAUAAAUUGCAUUUCAAACCCUUAGUCACAAAGCCAUAGGGCAGGAUUUAUGAUUGCUGAGGUGGGAACUGUUCUUGAGGACAACAUUGUAAUGGCUGGCACAAAAUGGUUGAAUUGCAUCAUGAAAUAAAGCUUCUACUCAUUUGUCAGCGGCACAACUAGGCAUGUUUAAUGCCUGCGCAGCCCUUGUGCGCCUUUGUUGGCCAUUCAAAGCCCAUAAGUCAAGCAUGAUUGGCUUAGGUUCCAUGAAACUUAGUUUUUUGUUUGAGUCUAUGGACCAUAAAAACAAUUUUUUUAAGGUUCUUGAAAGUUUAAUGCUGGAAACUCCAAUUCCUCUUAUGCUUGCAGCCCAAAAAUUUAGAUACUUUUCUCCAUUUUUUCCAAUGUUAAGAAUAAGAAUAUAAAAUUAAAGAGUGCCUAACAAGAAAACCAAUGUACAAAGGACACAUAUGAAGAGCAUUGAAGACAACAAGAACUAUAAACAACACCUUAACCCCUCCCGUAUAAACAAGUGAAGAAUCAAGAAUUGAAUAAAGUUACAAUCCAAAAAAAUAUUUGACCACAAGAAGAUAUUUUCAAAUGGGUCACUCAAUGGCAUUUUCAAGCUCUCUAUGCCCUCAAAAUAUCUUUUAUUUCACUCCCUUCAAAUGGAUCAAAGAGGAAAAAGGGAACUAAUCUCAUGCUAAUAUGAUUGACCAACUCCUUAUCCUGCUUGCUGAGGACUUUAAAGGCCAUUCCUGUUUCAUCAACUAAAAAUGUAGGUACUAUGUUGAUACAAGUCCUAAGUUGCUUCAAAACAAUGAAAAAUGCUGUUCAAUUUCAUCUUUGGGAUGCACUUUCUUAUAAAUAAGCCAGAAGAAUCUACCUUAUUCAUCUCAUGUUAGCAAAAUUUUCAACUAUUACAUACCUUAACGUAUCCUAGUAUUAUAGUCAUAAUGAUAUCAGGUCUCAUGCAACAAUUUAGGCACAUGUCUUUUCCUAAUUACAUUUUUCAAAGCCUUAAAUAAUUCUCAUGCUAUUAGAUGCCUUACUAACUUCUUAUAUUCCUUCUAUUAUCUUCUUGCAUCUCUAGAUAGAUGAGGCCAAUGUGUACAAGGAGACCAAGCAAUACACAUAUAAAGAUGGUGCACAGUUUGUCUUCAUGGACCUGGUAUUGCUCAUUUUCCUUUUCAUAUAAUUUAUUACUCACUUCAAACCUAUCAGCUUAACUAAACCUUGUGCCAGCUGCUUCAGUUAUUCUGAUUCAUUUUUCACUUAUCAAUAUGUGAAAAAUAUUUCUUCUUAUCAAUAUGUGAAAAAUAUUUCUUCUCAUAUGAUUGCAAGAUGCUGGCUCUUAUUACUGCUUUCCACAGAGUACAUUUGAAGAAAUUCGACUUAAUGAGUCUGAUGUUGGAGAGAGGACAAAGUGGCUGAAAGAGGGCAUGGACUGCAAUGUGCUAUUUUGGAAUGGAAAGGUACCAAAGAUUUUGAAUAUUUAAGUAUUUAAACUUUUCUCAUGAUCUUUUCAUUCAAGUUUUCUGUCACGUGUAAAGAGAGAAUAUGUGUUGAAUGUGUUUAGGAGAUUGUGUUUUAUGGCGAUUUAAUGCACAAGAGUGUGAGUUUGCAUGGAUAACUAAGUUCUUGGAAUAGCACUCUUCAAAUGGCUUACAAUAAUGAAUCAUAAUCUGAUGAACAUUAAGCAUCACAGAUUCAAGGAUGUACAUGGAAUUCACAUGUUACAUGCAUUAGCAAACUUGUGCAUGGUUACCAUUCAUUUUAUGAGAGGCGAAACAGCUGAUUGAUUUUUUCCCCUGGUAAUCAAAUUAACUAUUUAUAUGGUUGCAGAUUAUUGAUUUUGAACUCCCCAUUACAAUCAAGCUGACUGUUGUUGAUGUUGAUCCUGGCAUUAAAGGUGACACUGCACAAGGUAAUGCGAUUUGGUUUCUAUUGAAGUCAUGACACAAUGGCCUACUGAGUUUACAUGCCCAUCAAUCCAUGCCUUGGGGAUUACCAGUGGAUGGAUUUGGUCUUUAAUCCAUGUCCUGGGGAUUACCAGUGGAUGGAUUUGGUCCCACGCAAGAAUCUGAUCUUGGAAAUGAUAAAACAUAUGAUCAUUCUACCAUUGCUCUGAUCUGCCACAAACAGAUCAGAUGUCCUAAUCGGGUUAUGCAGGGCCUAAUUCAUCUGCUGUAUGACCAUAGUCUUGGAUUGGAAUGGUUUUAAUUAGGUUUGAAAAGUGCUUCACCUAUCAAUCAAAAUAUCGACAACUUUGUUUUCUUCAUCCAAGUAGCAGCAACUUAAUAUUUGGGCAGCGAUGUGACAAUCAUAGAAAUCAGUUUUUUUGAAGUAAUAAUAUGCCGUCAUUGGUUCACCCAUUGUGUGUUUGGCAAUGUUUCUUCAAUUUUCUUUUUUGCUUUUUUUUUUUCCAAUUCUUGACAUUCCUAAUCGCAGCUCACCUCUUUUUACUCUGGGAAUGCUCAGUUUUCCCCCCGCAAUACUGGUUUAGUAGCCCAAAGUGUCUGUAUGUGGUUGGUGAUUGUAAGAAUUUGUGGGGAGGGAAACAGUUUGUUAGACAGCUUUUGCUUCUAAUUUGGCAAACAAUAUUUUCUGGCAGGUGGAUCGAAGCCAGCAACUCUCGAUACAGGUGCUGUUGUCAAUGUCCCUCUGUUUGUAAAUAUAGGCGAUCAAAUAUUGGUGGAUACAAGAACUGGGGAGUACAGGAGUCGCGCAUAGCCAUAGAGAUCCCUUAUCUCUCGUCAUCUCCACAAGAUUCUACCCUUAUAUGUUUUUGUUAACUACCAAUGCACUGUACCCAUUGAAUGCAAGGAAAAUAAAUCAGAGAGGCUAGAUAGUAAAACAGUUGUAAUCUUAAUUUUUCUACUUUACAUUGUCGAUUGACAUGAUGAACUCUUUUUUUAUGUCAGAAGGGAAAUUCACAUUCAUUUCAUAAGACAUUUCUGUUUAGAGAAGGUUAUGAACAUGCUCGCUCAUUCGUCCUAAGCAUUAGAACUCAGCAAAAGUUUCCGGAAACGCUAGUGUGAAUUUUUGACACUAUCAAAUUCAUUGAAGGCAUGAGCAUUUUUGAAACCACAUGCAGCUGAAAGAAGUAUACAAUACAAAUAGGAAUGUACAAACCAUUGAUCUGUCAAGUCUACCAUUUGGUAUGAAUGCUCACAAGCAACAGUAGAACCUACAACUAACCAACAAUUGCAUUCUUGCGGCUUGAAGACUUGCCUGGCCUCUUGUGAGGGAUCACACCUCUCUUCAGAGCUGCACCAUAUACAGUACAAGCACUCAACCAUCUCCCCUGUUGAUUGAACUCAUCAAUCAAAAGGUUAUAACAAAUCCUACUGGGAAUUCUCCUCCCUUCGCACAUGAGAACCAAGAUCGACAGUGCCUCAUCAACCCUUCCCUCACUGCAAAGUGCGCGAAUGACACUGUUGAAGGUGAUCAUCCUGGGAGGAAAAUAUCCAAACCCUACCAUCUCAUUUAAAUACAUCAAAGCCUUGUCUACCUCCUUGGCAACACAAAGGGUUUGGAUCACUAGGCCAUAUGUAUUGGGGUAAAUGGCACAGCCCGCGUUAAUCAUUUUCUCAAACACUUCAUGGGCAUUUUUCAACAGCCCUUCUUCUUUCCAUGAUCUCCUGCACAAUCCCCUCAACAUGGUGUUCAUCAUCCUCUCUUCCACUUUGAAACCGGCCUCCACCAUCUCCCUGUAAAUUCGCAGCGCAGAAUGAAUUUUGCCCCACUUCAAUAGUCCAUUCAACAAAGUGCUAUAACUGAUAUAAUCAGGCAUGCAGUUUCUUUCUUUCAUGUUCUUCAAUAGAUGAAUCCCCUCUAAUGGCCUUCCUUCCUUGCAAUACCCAUUGAACAGGGUAUUGAAAGUGACCACAUUUGGGGUCAUUCCCAUUUCCAGAGCUUCAACAAGCAACUCCAUUGCCUCAUCCGACCUACCCACUUUGCAAAACCCAUCCAUAACAGCUGUAUAUGAAUAUAGGUCUGGUUUUACUGAAGAUUUCUUGAUUUUCAUCAAGAAUUCAUACGCAUCCUCCACCCUCCCCACAUAGCACAACCCCUUUAACAGGCAGUUAUAUGUCUGAACAUUACCUUUGCAUCCAAUUCGACCCAUGAACUCCAAAAUCUCCACAGCUUUCUGCAAUUUACCCCUUCUGCAGAAUGAAUUGAUCAGAAUAGUGAAUGUUACUACACUUGGUUGAAACCCAAUUUCCACCAUGUGCUCAAGAACUCGUUUUGCUUCACUCGGGUCAUUUUUCUUGCAGUGGCACUUGAUAAUAAUGGAAAAAGUCCAAGAAUCUGGCACCAUCCCAUAGGAUGAUAUAUCACAGUAGAGUUUCAGCGCAAGGUCAGGCUCAUCUGCUAUGAAUAAAGCCAGGAGCACAUCAUUGAAGACAGAAAGGUUCUGAAAUGCCCGUUCUCUCUCAAACACAUGGAUAAUUUGGAUUCUUUCAGAAGUGGGUAAGGCUCUAAUCCUAUCAACAAAGUUAUGGACUUGUAAUCUAGUAUUUCUCCUAUCAAAGUCCAUGCUAUGUGGUUCUUCCUUGAUGGGUCUGUCAAUGGAGACUCCAUUUGGACAAAUCCUAUCAGUUGCAUUGGCGAUACUGAGAGUGCUUUCUGAUGAAUUCCUAACAGAGAAUGAGAGAGUGGUGGCAUGGAGAAGCAACUUACCUUGUUGGGUUUUGUUGUGGUUGUUUCUGAAGAAGCAAGGGCUACUAAAAAUCAAAGAAUGAAUGGGUGAAGGAUGUGGAGAAAACAAUAGUUGAGAAGGCAUGUAUGCGGGAUUCGUGAAUUGGGGAAGAAGGCUAUUGCAAAUCAUGAUGUACACUGCUCACCAAAGAGGGUAGUGGGAGGGGCAUUUUGAGGCAAAUGAGCUGUUUGAAACUACAAUUCAUCCCUGGAGAUAUUCUCUACGCCUUCACAAGGUUGAAGCAACACCAUUAAUUCAGGUCAAAAACAAGUGUUAAAUACCCCUCGAAAAUCUGUCGACACCCACAUAUUAAUUUAUUCUUUAAAAAAUAGAACUUAAAUAUGGAAGGGCAAAAUGACCUUCUCUUCAUCCUUCUUCCUAUCAAAUUUGAUAAAUUGAUGAUGAAAGCUAUAUUUUGUAUUAUUUCUUUUUGAACUUUAUACAAAAAUGUAAAUGAAUUGUAUAAGGAAAGAAAUGAAUAAUAUUCCUAAGAUAUUGGAAAGUAUCCUAAAAUGAAGAGAAUCAAAUAUUAUUAAUAUUUUAAUUUUGUGAGAAUUAAAUAUUUCUAUAUUUUGUGAGAAUCAAAUAUUAUUAAUACUUGAUUUUCUCUAGAUUUAUGGAAAUAUUGAUGGAAGUGUCUUCUUACCCUUUAUGUGCUUGAUUAUGUGUAUUUCCUCAAGUUAGAGUGAGAACAAACAUGGACGUCUAAUUUGUUCAAAGAUUUGGUAAAAAUAUCAGCAAGUUGAGAAUGUGUAAAAACAUAGUGAGUAACAAGAGUGCGCAUAGUUACCUUAUCUCAUACAAAAUGAUAAUCAAACUCAAUAUGUUUAGACCAAACAUGAAACAUGGGAUUAACAAACAUGUAAAGAGCACUAACAUUAUUACAAAAUAAUUGUGGUGAUUUAGAGAGGGACACACUAAUAACUCGUAAAAAAUAAGUAAUCUAAAUUAACUAUGCUAUGGAGAAAGCCAAAGAGCGAUGCUCAACCUCAAUGCUUGAGCAAGCAACAACUAGUUGUUUCUUUGAACACCAAGAGAUACAAUUUGCUCCAAGAAAAACACAAUAACCCAUGGUGCUCCGUCUUGCAGCAGGACAACCUGCUCAAUUAGCAUCACUAAACCAAUAAAAGAGAUAUUGGAUUGGUGGAUAGGUAACGUAAACCAAAGUAUUGGGUUCCUUUAAGAUAUCUUAAGAUACCCUUUAUAGUUGUCAAGUAAGCCAUAAUGGGGUUACUAAAAUAUUGACAUACCUGAUUAAUUGUCAUAUGAAAGUUAAGUAUUAAACGGGUUCAACAAUAAUUUAGAAAGUAGUAACAUCAUUUAAUACAUUGUUUGAAAGAGAAGACUCGUUAGUAAGAACCUGAGGUGGGGCAACAUGAUUACUAUUAAACAUCUUAGUUCUUGAAAGUAGGUCACGUAUAUACUUUUGUUGAGAAAGAAAAACUCCUUCAUCAAAAUAUUUAAUCUCUACAAUAAGAAAGUAACGUAGAAGGCCAAGAUUUUUAUUUGCAAAUUCAUGGCUGAGUUGUGCAAGGAGACUUGUAAUAAGAAGACUUGUAAUAAAUUGGUUAUUGUUACAUACAAGAAGAACAUCAUCCACAAAAAUGAGGAGAAUUGUAGUUAUGUCAUGAGUGCAAUAAAUAAACAAUGACGAGUUCACUUUAUUGCAAUAGAAACCAAAUCGGAGCAAAAAUUGUGAAAAGUGAUUGAACCAAGCACAAGAUGCUUAUUUCAAACCAUAUAAUGAUUUCUUUAAUAAAUACACAUAAUCAGGAAAAAGAAAAUUAAUAAAGCCUGAAGGCUACUCCAUGUAGAUUGUUUCCUUUAGUUGCCCAUGCAAGAAUAAUUUUUUUAUGUCCAAUUGGUGCAUGCUCCAAUUUAAAGAAAGAGAUAGAGCUAUGACAAGACACAUGGUGGUUGGUUUAACCACAAGGUUGAAAGUUUCAUUUAGUCCACUUUUGAUACUUGUAUGAAACAUUUUGCAACCAAGUGAGUCUUAAAACAAUCGAUAAAACCAUUUUCUUUAUACUUAAUAUGAUUUACCCAUUUGGAGCUAACAACAUUGAUUCCAGAUGGUGAGAAACAAACUCCUACAUGUUAUUAUCAUGAAAUGCUUGAAGUUUAUCUUUCAUGACAUCAGUCCAACUUAAAUCCUUGAGAGCGGUCUUUAAGGUCUUUGACUCAAAUGAAAUGAGAUCAUAUACACGAGAAGAGGUUGGUGAUGAAAUGGGAAGAACAAUAUAGUCACUGAGGUAAAAAGGUGGCGUUCUAACUCAAACAAGUUUAGUUUAUGGCACUAACUCAAUUGGAGAGACUCAUGAAAUGUCAUCAUAUUCAAAUUUAGCUUCAGUUGAAGGAGAAGAAUGUGUAAGACCUUCAUCCACAGUUGGAAUCAAAUUCUCUAAAGUUGAAGUAUAUGGAACCAUUGGAAUAAAGGUAGAAUUUGCAAAAAAAAAUUGAGGUAGUUGCACUGUUCAAGCUAAGUUGAUUUUCUUUGUUAUUUCCUACAAUAUUUGGAAUAAAAUCUACAAUAAAAUUAGGGUUACAAAAAUAAAAGGAAUCAUUUGACAAGGUAGUUUCCUUAUUAGUUGAAUCGAACCAUUCAUCCAAAUAAGGGAAGUCAAACAUUUCCAAAUUUGUAAAAUUAGAGACCACAUGUAAGGACUUGUAAAUAAUGGUGCCUUCAUCAAAGACAACAUGUCUAGAAAUACAAACCUACCUUGUUUGAGGCUCCAAGCAUCUAUAAUCCUUAUGAAUCGGGUUAUAUCUGAGAAAGACACAUAGAUAAGUCUUGUUGGUAAAUUUUGAACCAUAUUGAUAAUGUAAUGAUGAAAAACAUUGACAUCCUAGUACUCGUAAGCCAUUGUAAUCAGGAUGCUUUUUGUAGAGCUUAAAGUAAGGGAUAACAUUGUUAAUAGUUGAGGAGGGCAACUUGUUUAUAAGAUACACAGUUGUAAGAAAGACUUCAACCCAAGGAGAUAAUGACAAGGUGGCAUGAAAAAACAUGGUCAAUAAGGUUUCAACAAUAUGUCAAUGUUUUCACUCGACCAUUUCGUUUUGUUCAAAAGGUCCAAUACAUGAACAGGUAGCUCCAUUCCAUUAUUCUAAAGAUGCUUAAGAAAAAUAUUAGAGCUAAAUUUCCUCCACUUUCACAUAUGAAAUGCUUUAAUUCUUUGAUUAAAUUGAUAUUCUACCAAAUUUUGAAACUUAUGAAAACAAACAGAAAAUUCAAAUUUCCAUUUCAAAGAAUAAAACCAUGUGAAUCAUGAAUAAUCAUUGACAAAUAUUGCAUAAAAAUGAAAAUGUUGAUUUAUAGUCACAGGAGCUGAGCCCCAAAGAUCACAAUUAUCAAGAGGAAUUUUAGAAAAUUUAUUUGAAUAAUAGAGAGACAAUUUGCAACUCUACCCCAUUUGACAACUAAUAUAAAUAGAAGGUUUAGUUGCUCAAUGGGUUAUAUCAAUAAAUUUCUAUUCCUUUAAUAAGGAAAGAAUUUUUUAGUUUGGAUGUCUAGGUUGUUGAUGCCAAAUUGAUAAAGAACCAUAUUUCUUUAUUGCACUAAAUGCCUCUUAAUUGUUUCCAUUUAACAUAUAUAGUUGUCUUUUCUUAUGCCUCCUUGUUAUUGUCCUUUAAUUUUAGUCCUUAACAACAAAGUCAGAUGAGGUGAAUUCAAAAGUACGUAAAUUAUUUGCAGUAAAUUUUUUAAUAGAUAACAGAUUUUUCUUUAAAUAAGAAACUUCUAACACGUCUUUUAAAUCCAAUUUUCCUCCAUUAUUCCAAUAUGAGAAAUAUGUAGACUAUUUUCAUUUCCAACAUAAAUAACAACAUUCCCAUCAUAUGAUUUAAUAUGAAAAAUUUUACUUGCAUUGUUGGUCAUCUGUGAGGUAGCACCGGAAUCAACAAUAAAUAACUAAUCAUUUGAGUCAUUCAUGGCAAGAGUAGCAAUAACUUGUGGAAAAUCUUUAGAUUGGUAGGAAUAAUCUAAUCUAUACCAACAAUCAAUAGCAAGAUGAUUUGGUUUUCCACAUAUUUGACAAGUUACUUUACUAUUAUUAUUUGAGCUAGUAGGACGUUGUUGUUGAUGCCUUUUUUUUGGUUGAAUUGUAUUGUUAUUUGACCAUUUAGGAAUGUUGACAUUGCUUUGAGGAUUAUGGUUGCCAUUAUAGUGCUUAAUAGGUGUGAAUCCUCUUCCCUUUGAGUUGAAAUUUCUUUUACCCACUCGGCCAUUUUGAUCACGACCUUGUUGUCCAAAGAAAAAUUGUGCAUGCUUUAAUAAUAUUUUCUCUUCCUCUUUUUGGGUGGUGAGUGAUUGUUUAUGUCCUUGAAGAGCUAGCAUAAACUAGUUAAAGAAAUGAUAAGGUGGUUUAAUAAGCAUAACAAGUAAAAAAAUUUCAUUCCUUGUCCUAAACCAUGAGCUAAUUGAAAAACUUUAUCUUGGUUUGAAAUUGGCUUUUUGACUAUAACAAGAUUGUCACAUAUAUUUUUGAAGUUUCUUAAAUAUUCUUCAAAAAACAAUGACCUCUUGUUGAGAGUCAUCAACAUAUUUUUCAAAUUCUUUUCUUUUUUUACUAUAAUACAAAACAAUUGCUCUUCAAAAGACGUCCAAACUUCAUAUGUUAUUUCAACACCAAAGAUCAUGCUCAAAACAUCUUCUUUCAUAAUUCCAAGAAGCCAUGAAAUAAGAAGUCUAUCGUUAUUGAUCCAUAGUUGGUAUUGUGGGUUAGGACUUUUGAUUUUUUCAUCAUCUUUAAUUUUUUCAGUAUGUUUUUCUCCAUUUAAUAGAUGAUGGAGAACAUCGAGGCUACGAACAAAGGCAGUGAUUUGACUUUGCCACCGUAAGAAAUUUGUGGUGUUUAACUUCAUAGAGAUGAAACUAGAACAUUGGUGAAAUGACUAAGUAUUGAGUCCAAGUUCUAUGUUUAGGAAAGAGGAAAAGAAUGAAGAAGAAGAUAUAUAUAUUCCAAGCUUGAUUUUCAUAAUACCAAUUCUUGGGUUUGUUAUGAUACUUGGGUAUUACAUUUUUGGGCUUUGUUUUCCGCAUGCUUAUUUAGGCCUAAUUAAGUUUGUUCAACAUUGGAUUGGGCCUAUUUACUAAUUAUAUUGGGGCUGUAUUUCCUUACUAAUCCAUUUUUUUUAUUAAAUAAAAAGUUCAAAAUCAAUUUUUUUUCUAAAAAAAUAUUUUAAUGAAAUAACAAUUUAGAAAAUAUUCCUUUUAAUAAAAGUCUGGACAGUUCUCUUAAUAAAAAGUUCAGAAAAAAAUGUUUUUAGACGAAUUUUAAAAACUAUUUUUAAUAAAAACUUGGAAAUUUAUUUGUUUAAUAAAAUUGUCAAGACAGUUAAUUUUUAAAUAACAUUAUUCAAAAGGUUAAUUUUUAAUAAAACAGUUCAAAUUUUUUAUUUUUAAAUAAAACUCCAUAAUUUUUAUAAAUUAAAAUUAUAGAAUCAUUUUCUUAAUAAAAUUGGAUUGAAAAUAUUUUUGUAUAUGAAAAAAAUCAAUUCAUUUGUAAAUAAAAUCAAAUUGGAACAUUCUUUGUUAUUAAAUUUGUAAUUUUUUUUUUUAAUAAUUGGUGUAAAUCUUGUUUCUAAAUGAAAUCCAAAAUCUUUUAAAUAAGAAUAUAAUUUAACGAAUUUUAAUGUGAAAAAAAAAAUUCUUAAUAAAAUUGGGAUCUUGGAAACAAAUUUGUGAAAUUUCUUUCCCUAAAUAAAUAAAUUGAUAAUAAAAAAUAUAUUUUAAAAAAAUUAAAUCCAAAAAUAAUCUUUUUAAUAAAAUUGGGCUGAAAGUCCAUUUUAUAAACUUAUAUAUAUCUUUCUUUAAGUAAGUAGAAAAUCAUUUUUUAAAAAACAAAAUAUGAAUCAAAACACUUUUGAAAAUAAAUUUAUAAAAAUACAUUCUAGAAAAGCAAACAGAAUCAUUUUUUUAUAAAUAAAAUCAAAUUGAACCUUUUUUUUUUUUUGUGAAAUUGUAUUCAAUAAAUUCUUUUUAUAAAAGAUAAGAGAAAUUCUUUCAAAAUAAAUUUGAAUGUGAAUAAUAGUUAAGUCUUUUGCAAAUAAAUAAAUUAAAAUCAUUGAAAUUGUUUUUAAUGUAAAUAUAUUCUUUCAAAAUUCUUUUAAAUUAUGUUGUGAUUUUUUGAACAAUAAAACUUUUUUUUUUCUAAUUAAUUUAAUAAAUCAAUUUAUAUAAUUCUCCAAAUUAGUUUUGUCGUAUAUUUACAUCUUACUUUUCUUGAUAUUUGUAUUUAAUUAAUCAAUUGUCACAAUUCCCUCAAUUUGUUUAAUAAAAAUAAUAUGUAUAGAAGAUUAAAGAGUUGUUACGGUUUAUCAUUGCAUCUUCCAGAUGGUAACCUGACUUCCAAUUUUAUUUAUUUUUAUUUCACAAACUUAUCUUUUCCAAAUAAAGUCAUAUAGAAUUUUAUUUCUUAUUUUGUUUCCCUUAUAAAAAUAUACUAAAAUAAGUAAUAACUCCGAGUUUUUUAAAAAUGUAAUUUUUAACAAAUAAAAACAAAUCUCUUCAUAUAAUGAAUUUAAUGAUAUAUUAUGACAUGAUGGUGGGUCAAUGGAUAAUAUCUAAAUGUAGAUAACAAGUUGUUAUAGAAUUAUGAUAUCUUUCAUAAGAUAGGGGGAAAACCUUCUUUAAUUUAUCUUAAUUGUGUAUAUGUGUUUUAAAGUGGUAAAAUUUCAUUGAGGUUGAGUACCAAUAUCUACAUGAAAAGGAUGAGUAUUACAAAUGAUAUCAAAAUUUAUCAUUGACUUUGACUUUGACUUAGACUUAGAACUGUAAGUUAAUGUUUUGAAAGGAUGUUACGAGAGAAUGCCAUAACAAAUGGUAUUAAAGACUUUGGUAGCAUAUUACGAGGUUUAAUGUUUAUUGCAAUAAAAUUAGGGAAUUAUGAUACUUGUUACUUUCUUUAUUUGAAGCUUUUUGGCCCUUCUAUGUUUUAUUAGGGUGAAAGAUGAUUCAUUCAUAAGAAGAAAACAAAAGAAAAUCUAGAGAGCUACCCUUUUUUUUUUUUUUUUGGAUUUUACAACAGAAAAGAAUCUAAAUAACCUUUAAAAAUAUAGAGCAACAAAUUUAAUCAUUGAAGAACUCUUUUAUUAAAAAUUUAUCUAGAUGGGUUAAAAUGUGCAUAAUGGAAGGAGUAUCUUUAAUUGAUCUUGUAGGUUGGGCGUGAUCUAGACCAUGGAGGGAAGGCUUUUUUGUUUUUUUGUUUUUAUAUUCAUACCUUUUGUUAUCCUUUGUAUAUAGGACUUGGUGUAUAGUUAUUUAUAAUUUUAGUGAUAUAUACUCUCCAUUUUCUUAUAUAGUUACUUCUUCUUUCAAGUGGAAGAUAACCCCGAGCAAUUGUCGAUUUUUUUCUAUCAAUUAUGGCUCUCCCCUCACUACCCCGUGGGAUGAGUUCACGCUUACCUAGUCAAUACUUAAAUUGGAUUCUACCUCAAUUUUUCUAAUUUACCCCAACAUUUUUCACUUAUUUGUGGGCAAUUUUUGGAUAUCAAACGCUUCGCUAACUAUACAUUUAAAACCCACCUCAAAAAGCACGUCGUUUUAUGAAUCAUGUUUCAUUAAUUUUCAUUGAUUUUGUCUUCAUAAAAAAUGGGUCUCAAAUCCUCUACCCAAAAAGAAAAAGAAAAAAAAAGGAUAGGCAAUAUAUGCGGACAACAUGAAUCAUUGAAGAACUCUUUUAUUAAAAAUUUAUCCAGAUGGGUUAAAAUGUGCAUAAUGGAAGGAGUAUCUUUAAUUGAUCUUGUAGGUUGGGCGUGAUCUAGACCAUGGAGGGAAGGCUUUUUUGUUUUCUUUUUUUAUAUUCAUACCUUUUGUUAUCCUUUGUAUAUGGGACUUGGUGUAUAGUUAUUUAUAAUUUUAGUGAUAUAUACUCUCUCUUUUCUUAUAUAGUUACUUCUUCUUUCAAGUGUAAGAUAAUCCCGAGCAAUUAUCGGUUUUUUUCUAUCGAUUAUGACUCUCCCCUCACUACCCCGUGGGGAUGAGUUCACGCUUACCUAACCAAUACUUAAAUUGGAUUCUACCUCAAUUUUUCUAAUUUCCCCCAAUAUUUUUCACUUAUUUGUGGGCAAUUUUUGGAUAUCAAACGCAACUCCAAAAAGGAAAAAAAAAAAAGAAAAGGAAAGGAUAGGCAAUAUAUGCGGACAACAUGAUAUGAAAAACUCGAAAAAUAAUAAAAUUCAACGACGCAGAGAUCUACUAAAUGCCUUCCAAGACACGAGGUCCUUAUGAUCCGGUACCCCUCUCCUUCCUCCCUUUUUCCCAAAAACUGGACUCAGCAACUUCUUCAGCACCCUCUUGAACCCGGACCCACGACGCCCACGUCGCACCUCCGCCCCCACCGCAGGCGGCUGAGGCAGGGGCGCAAAUGACCGAGCCGCCCCUGGCUCCGACAGGCUCCGACCCAGCAUCGCCCGCGUCAGCUGCAACUCAAAUGACAGCCUCUCGAACUGGUCCAACAGUGUGCUCUGCUCGUCUCCAAAUUUCCCAACAACAGCCGCUAUUUCUUCCAUUCUCUUCAUAUCGACCAUUAAGCUUCAAUCACAUUCACAUCAAACUCCUUCUGAUGGGUUCACAAAGUAUUUAUUGGAUGGACAAAGGUACAUGAAUAUAGAACAGUUUGCUCUCUACUUUUAUAUGCUGACAGCAGCUGGUUGCAUUUAUUUGACAGUCCUUGGAAAUUGAAAAUAUUCAAAUAUCGGUUUAUUUGAAUGCUUUCCAAGGAUAAUUCUUAUUAGAGUUUCAAUCACAACCUUAAACCCCAUGGCAAGAAUUCCUUGGGCAAAACCGGGCCAAACACUUUAUUCUUUCUUGCAUCACACAAGUUAUGUUUUGUUCCUACAAGCUUCUUCCACACAAAAGCAUUAUAGAUUGUAAAAAUAUAAAAAUGCAGUCCUAAUAUUCUAAUUCCAACAAAGAAAUGUCACAAAUAAAAAGAGUCAAUUUGGUAACUAUUUUUUAAAACAGUUUUGAAAAAUAGUUUUUAAAAACAGUGUUUAAAAACGGUUUUUUAAUGUUUAUAAAAUAAAAGUUUGAGUGCAUUUCAUAAUGAUUUUAGAAAGUGUUUUUAAACUUUCUUAUACUUCAAAAUUUUUAUCUUUCAAGUAUUAAAAAAGAUAAAAACACUUUUUAAAAUCGUUAUCAAAUGCACAAAUUACUUGAAAACCGAAAUUAUUUUUAAAUUAUAAAUAUUUUAUUUUUAAUCAUUCUACAUGUUUAUAUAAUUAUUUUUUAAUACAACUAUUAGAAAACAAGUGAAAAUAAUAUAAAACAAUUUUAAAAAGUUCUUUAAAAAUACCAUAUUUUUUGUUUUUAAAUAGAAAACAGUUUUUUGUUACAAAACAUGUUUUUUUUUAUUUUUUAUUAAGAAUAAUACAAAAAAUUGCUCCCGAAAACAAUUGUCAGACAAGUCCAAAGUAUCCACUUUAUUUUUCCUUGCGAUAACAAUAUAACCACCUUUAGUCAAGCCUAAGCCAACUGAUUAGCCUAAGAAUUUAAUAGGUAUAUUAUCUUUGUUGUUAAUAAAUACAAUUACAAAGUUUUUAAAAAUAUAUAUAUAAUUAAUUUUAAAAAAUAAUUAAAAUUUGUUUUUUUAGAUAAGUUUUAAGGGAGAUAAAUUAUGUAUAUUUAUUUUAUGUGUGCUAACUACACGUAAUUAAAAAGCGGCCCAAGCUUGGAGCCCAGUAGUAUAUUUUGGAUGGGUUUCGUUGAUAUCGUGGACCAUUUCUCGGGGUUAAAUGAUUGGGCCAGACCAUGGGCUGGGCUCGAAUUAAAAAAGUCUGUUCAAGGCCCAGUCUAGACGGAUCAGGCUCGGCCUAGGGGGGAAAUGGGUUUGGCUUGAGGUUUGUAAAUGAGUCCGACAUAUAGGAAUUGGAAUGAAGGCCCAUUCGGCCCAUAAAACCCGAACUGUCGAUUCUCGCUGAUUCACCCACUCAAUUGCGUCAUGGUGAGCUGGUGGUUCUCCACUUCCACUGGUUUUGAAUCGAAAACAAAAACCUAAACUUCGAUCUCCUUAUACCCUCAAUAACUCCUUCCUUUAUUUAAUGCGUGAAGUCUAAGCUCAGUGAUUCGAUUUCAGUUGCUAUUGGCUAAGGACUUGUAAUUUUCCAGGAAAAGGAGGUUGUUUUCAUGAUCACAAGUCUGUUUGGAUGGAUAGAAAUGAAUUUCUUCCUGUGAUUUUCUUGCUUUUUCUGGUUGUAAAUGUUUCUGGUGGUUCAGUAGCUGGUAAGUUCCGAAAAUUGGCUGAUGCUGAGCCAAAGGAGGAUUCCACUGCAACCAAGGUAGUACUGAAAACAAUUCUCUGAUUAGAAUUGCUUAUUUUGAAGUGAAAUAAUGAUUGCGAUUCUGAGACGUAAACCAUUGUUUUUAGAUUGAUCCGCCGCCGUCUCCAGUUUCUGUUGGCAAUCAAUCGGAGCCAAAGCCGAUUGAUCCAGGCAAACUCGGGAAGGAGAAAUCUAAGGAUGCCCCAGUACCCACCACCAACUCUUCAAAAGCAGAUUCAAAAGGGAAGCAAAAAGAGAAAAAUGAUGAUAAAGCCAGUUCAGAACUGGGAACAUAUGGGACUUGUGAUGGGUUACUUGAGAAGUGCACGGACCCCAAGAAAAAGAUGAUUGCUUGCAUUCAAAGUUUUGAAAAUGGUAUUUUCUCAUGGAUUAUGGUUUUGUUGCAAUGUGGUGUUGCUUUAGGUAGAAUGAUUCUGUACUUGCAUUUAGUAUCAGUUUUAGUGAAUGGGGUCUGCAAGUCUCAUUUUGGAAAACUACUAAGAGCAAUAUCAAAUUAAAUGAACUAAAUUUUUAUUGACAAGAUUUGUUGGGUAUCAUACUGAGUUGUUAUCUAAAUACUAUUGUCUUGUCAAAACUUUUGAUAUAGAAGUAUUUCAGAUAUAGGGCUCAAGUAUUUUGUUAUAUUAGUAUGAGAAUAUGAUGGCUUAAACGCAUUGAGAAUUGAGAUAAAUGGCAGAUUCAGGGCUAGACAACUGUGGAACAUCCAUGCUGGAAUUUUAGAGCUAGCAGCUCAUUAACACUUGUACAACUUAGAGACUUUACUAUUUCAAAUGUUGAGUAUAAAGUUUGGCAGGCAUGUGUAGGAGUCUAAAUGAUGUCAGUAAAACUGUUACUGCUUCUGGUAGAACAAUUUUGGACUUCUUGGAGGUGCAUUUGCUUGGUAGCAAGCACCAUAUCUGAAAUUACUUAUUGGGUCGAAAGGUGGCAGUCAGGAAGUGCAAUUUAAAUAGAACAGCAAUUGGAUUGCAAUGUUGACAACAAAAUAAAUGGUUUAGCUUCAAGCUUUUCUAUUACAUAAUAUGGAGGAAAUCAGGAAUUCAAAAUUCCACUCUUAUUAGUGAGCGGUAACCUGGUUACUGUGGUUACCAUUCUCCCUUGUGUAUCAUUUCCACUUUUCUGCUUGUGGAGUUAGAUGCAGCAUUCUCCUGUAGUCUGAAUAGUUUCAAUGGGGAUACCGAAACAAAUGCAUUUUUAGCUAUUUUCUUUGUACUUCAUAGUUUUUUUUAUAAGCAAAAUAUUGGAAGUGGACUAUAAUUUAAAGCAUUUCAUGGUUCCUGUUUUAGAACAAUCACAGUGGAUUCUAAUCUUUAGGUGUCUAUGUUACAGCUGUCAAACAGAACUUAAUAUAUUAGUUAAAAGCACGGAUUCCUUUUUGAGAUAUUGAAUUGUGUUGAUGUUUAUUCUAUGAUAUGUUGGAUACUCCUCUAUCAACAUUUAUUGGCAUGUCAAUCACUAGUUAAAGUGUAAAUCUGUCUAUGAGGGUAAAGAGCAACUAAAGUGUAACUUUGAACACAAGUGUCUGCUUUUGGUUCGGAAACUUCAACGGGUCUACAUUUGUUUAUUUCAGAAUUGUGUGGAAGGAUAUGUGAUUGUCCUGCUUAUGUUUUGGAAGCUAUUGAUAUUUGUUUUUUGUAUUGGCCUUGAGUCCUAUCUAAAGUGCAAGAUGAUGGAGAAGGUUCCAGGUUUUAUUCCCAUUUAAAGGCCAAAUAGAAAAAACUAUAAAAAAAUUAUAUUUUUAGAUUGAUUUCUAUUGUUAUUUCACAUGCACAGCCUUAGAGGCAUGCUGAAUAUAUUCUUGUUCAUAUAAAUUUGUUCAAAUCCAUACUCAAGACUCAAACCAAUGUGAAUAUUUUUAUUUAUAUAGAUUCAUGAGUGCACAUAUGCACAAACAUAUCCUCAUCUCAAUGUUUUGAGGAGUUCUUAUCUCUGUGCUCCAAGUCCACAUGAGUGUGUGAUAGUUGUCCAUGCCUGCAUUCUUGGCUUUUAUUUCUUUCUGAGUGUUUAAGAUGUGUUAUUGGACACAUUCUUUAAUAACAUUUUGUUUCUUAUAAAGGAUUGAUGUCUCACUGGGCAUUGACUUUCUACUAAGCUAUAUCUGAUUAGGAUGGUUUCUGCAGUUCUACGUAGGAUGAGUUAGUACUUCUGAUGCUAUAUUAUUCUGUGUGGGUGCUUUUUUUGUUGUGAUAAGCUUUAGGCAUGUUUAGUCACUCAAAUUAUCUAUCUCAAAUGGCCUCAAAUAUAACCUCCUGUAUCCAUUUUUGCUACCCUUUAGUGGGCCUUGGGUUCUUUUGCCAUCUUUCGAGUAACUUGUUAUUAAGGAUUCAAGGAAGCUAAUAAAACAUCAUUUAAUGUCUUCUGCAAAUUUGGAAUGCUGUCUGAGUGUUUGUCGGUUAACUUAUUUUCUGUUAUAUUUGUUGUUUAUUGACAUGGAUUCAAUUCCCCACAGAAUAUUGUGUUGAUAUACCAUUAGUUUUACAUAUUUCUUGUCAAGGAGAGAGUUCUUCAUUGCCUUCCAUUUUCCUUUGUAACAGGAUCCAAAGCCCUCAUUGUCCAAAAUGAAGGAGAGAACACUUUGAAAGUGAAUCUUACUGUCUCGGAUUCUGUGAAAGAUGCUUUGGAGGUUCUAGUAAUACCAAAACAUCAAACUAGAAGUGUAUGGGUCCUUUCUCUUCUGCUACUUUGUCUUUUUCUUUUGAUCGUUAUGAAAGCCAUUGGAAAAAGAAUGAUGGCAUGAACCUGAAAUACAAGCCUUUCUGAUGGAACACUACUGAACUACUGUUCAUAUGAUGGUUUUUAAUCUUAGUGUAGUAUCAAAAGUGUCACCAGUUUCUAUUGCAUGCAUUAAAUAGAAACAUUGUCAAGUAAUAAUGACGAGGAAAAAUAAGCUUACAAAAAUAGUCUAUUUUUGGGUGGUUUUAUAGGAAAUCGCAUGAGAUGACAUGGUGGGGUAGUGGAGUGGGGUAUGAUUUCUUUUUUUGCUGUUUCUUGGAUGAAAUGAUAAAGCAAGGUUGAUUCAUGUGUUCAAUUUUUCAGCUUAGAUGAGAUUCAUGUUCUAGAAUUUUAACAAAUUCACUUAUUUGUGUCUUUACUGUAUUGGUGUUAGAACCAGAGAAUUGGAAAGAGGUAAUAUCUCUGAUAAGAGAAUAAAAAACACUAGGGACUUCAAUGCGCAGCUUGGUAGGGCACAAUGGAGGGGUGGUUUUGCAUAAAUCAUUGUCUGAUCCUUUUCAGUGUUCUGUUCUCAAAUAUGAGUAUUCUUGCUUUCUGUUAAUAUGGCAUAUCUAUUCCACUCCUUUUCUAGAUCAAAAUCCUCCUCUAAAAUAACCAAAUUGUUUUUAUAACUGAUAUAGAGGAUCACCUCCAGAAUUAGAUGAUUCCUAAAACUUCUUCAAAAGUAGUUUACAAUAGAGGAACUUUGGAGUCCUGGCCACGAGGACUUUGAGGAAUCAUCCAAUUUUGGAGAUGAUCCUCUAUUUCAGCUGUAGAAAUAAUUUGUUUAGAGGAGGAUUUUGGUUUUGAAAAUGAGCGGAACAGAUAUUUCAUAUGAAAAGAAAGAAAGAAUACUCCAAUUUGAGAACAAAACAGUGAAAAAAAUCAAACAAUGAUUUCAAAAAAACUUCCCUUCCUUGGGUCUUACCAAGCUAUGCACUAAAGUCCCCAAUGUUUUCUAUUUUGUAGUCAAAGAUAUUAUCUUUUUCCGUUCUAUAGCUCUGAUACAAUUCCAACAUUCCUAAAUGGAUAUAACAUAAAAACAAUUCAAAAUUAAAAUCUGAAAUACAAAAAGAAAAUAGUAGUAAGAGAAAUCUUACAUUCAAACUUAAAGAUAACUUUUGAUACAAGAAGCUCACACCAAGAAUACAAGAAGAGGUUACUUUAUAUAAGAGAGCUACAAUAAUUAAUGGGGUCCUUCAGAGAUUAGAAAAGAUAGCCUAGAUAAAAGAGAAACUAUGUGAACUUUGUCGCGUCUUGGGUAAGCAAUAAUGCUUUGGCAGAGUUGUACAUAAUCAUGUGAAUAGGGUUGAAUAUCGUCAAAAGCAACUUUUGCACAAUUGUCCCCUAUAUUCCAUUUGACAAAGACCAUGUGAAUGCACCUAAGAGCAAAUUGUGCUUUUACCAUCUAUCUAGAUUCUUUUAAUUAUCAAGAUUUGAGAUAAAUCUCCUUCAUAGAUAUCAUCCAAGUUUAUUGUGGUUCUAGAAGUAGAAAGGGAAUAUGCUAGAGAAGAGUAAUUUUUCUCUGAGUUCUUCAUAUGAUAACCCUUUCACCUUUUCUUUUCUUAAAGAGACUAGGUCUUUAUCCGUAGUGGUUGAAGAUGAACCAAUCAUUCUAAGUUUAGGCUAGAUAAGAACAACAUUAAAGAUUGAUGGUUUAAGAUAGUCAUUCAAAUUUUGGCCACUACCUAAUUGAGAUCCUUCUUUGAAGUUUAGGCAUUGUAGAAGAGAUAUCCUCCCAUUUAGCUAUCCAUGGAAUUUCCUAGAAUGUCGCAAGGUGUAGGAAGGCGUCAUCUUCAAACAGUACUCCUUGAUUUCUCUUACAAAAUUUUCUAAAGGAUUUUUGAACUUCUUUUGGGAAAAUGUCAUUAGUCAUUCCCUAAUAAAAACAACCAAUCUUUGAACCAAUUUGGAAAAUUCAUUAGUUUGUCUAGUAAUUGAAAUUGGAUGAACCAGCUAUGAGCUAUCUUAUCAUUUUGAAAUGAUAAUAUGGGAAAUAAUCCCAAACAUGAAUAUAAUUAUGGUAAUUGAGAGCUUUUGGGAAAAUAUUUUUAUUUUUGGAAUACUUAAGAUUUUCCUAGGUCAAAGCCCCAUCCCAAGGUAGAUAAAAUCUUCUUUAUCAAGACUUUAGAACAAGCAAUAUUAUGCUCAUUGCAUGAUAUUGAAAUUAUGAGUUAAUUGAAUUUAAGAUUGCUUCAUAGAAUUUUCUGUUUUUUGGAAGAAGGUUAGAAUUGAAAUGAUCUGUUAGAUAAAGCUUGGCUAAUUCAAUAACUCUCUUAUUAGAGUGUUCAUCCUCAAUAGUUAUUUCAACUUUACAAAAUUUUUCUGUUGUAGAAGGCAUAUUAGCCUCAAAGGAAGAUUCUUGCUUCCAUUCGUAAAGUGGCUUUGUUGGUCUCUUUGGAGUUCUACAAGAAUUCACGAUUGAGGAAGUCAAACAAACAAUUGGCUUCUUUAAUGUGUUAUAUGUCAAAGUCAAAGAUUGUAAGUAGGGCUUGCCAUCUAGCACAAAUUUGUUUUGAUGCUAAAUUUUUUACAUCCUUUGUUAAAACUUCUUUUGCAUUCUUGCCAUAGUUAUUAAAAACUUAUGAUACAAGAUAUGAUACAAAGAUACGAUACAUUUUUAUGGAAAUCGAUAUGUAUCACAAUCCGUAUCUUAGUAUACAUAUACAAUACACAAUAUGAUACUUGAUAUUACAAUACAAUGAUAUAUAUAUCCUCAAUUAUUUUGUAUAAUUUUUUUAAAAAAUAAAAUUAAUUUUCUUUUUGUUAAAAGAAUUCAUUAUGUUAAUUGUUUAAAAGGAGAAAUACGUAAAAUAAUCUUAUAUGAAAAGUUGCAUUCUUGUUGUCAUAUGUUAUAUCAAAAGUCAAAUAAGUUUAUCUUUAUAAUGAAUAUUGGAAAAUUUUCAUUUGAACGGUUUGAAUGUUGACAAUGAAAAUAAUAGUUAUUAGUGAAUAAAUUUUUUUACUUAAUAUAUUAGUUUUUUUUUAAUUUCUUUUCUAGUGGAAAAGUAAUGAUGAUGAACCUAAAAGCUAGAAAUUUGAAAAUGACACAUAAAGGCAUAUAUGUAACAACACCAUAGGUGCAUAUACCUAGUUAGAAUUUGGAAUUAAAAUUUAUAGCUAAAAAUUGACUAAGUUUAUUUUUGUGGAUUAUGUGAUGAGCUUAUAUAUUAAAGUUAUAUUUUGUUAAUUUGAACUUGUCAAAAUUUUAAUAUUCAAUGUUUUCAUAUGAUAAAAUAUAGUUUAACUCUUUAGAUUAUACUAUCUUCCAUAAAAUUGGUUAUCUAUUACUUUGUAAUCCAUAUUUUCAAUAGAUAUUCACACACACACACACACACACACAUAUAUAUAUAUAUAUAUAUAUAUAUAUAUAUAUAUACUCACUUUAUUAAAAAACUUACAAUACACGAUAUGAUAUGAUGCAUGAUACAAAAAAACAAAAAAAAACUAUAUACGAUAC
rnacentral:lncRNA from 1 species